CUUCUCUUUUUUUUUCCUCACACUUUUUUUCUUUCUCUUUUUUUUUCUGACUUCUUUUUUUUCUCUUUUUUUUCUGUCUUUUUUUUUCUCUCCCUCUUUCCAAGACAAACUAGAUAAGAUGCAGAUUGGAUCAAGCGAAGAUGUGAACGACCUCAACUAUGAUUGUGACAAUGAACUAUGGGUAGCACAUGGUGGAAUUUGAUGGAUGGUGUGGUGGACAGCAGAAGGGAUAACGAUGCAGCGGCGACGUGACUAAUGUGAACAGAACUCGAAACUCUAAACGAACUAGACCCUAAGACCAGCAACUCGACACGACGAUGCAACCGAUAAUUCAAUAAUGCAAACAAUGAAUAGAAAAUUGCAAAGGCUCAGACUGGCUUGGACAAAAAGAUGAAUAGAUCUAACUUUUUUGUGGCUUUUUCUUGGACAAUAGGUAAGAAAAUAAAUCUAAUCUAGAGGAAACUGGAAAUUCUCACCGAGCAACCUGAAAACUGAUACCACUUGAUAGGGGCGAGGGUGUCCCGAUCUUUCGAUGAGAUGAUAACUAUCGAUUUGGUGGAGUCGACUUUGACGAUCCGACUACAAACGUGCACGACGUUGCGCCUUAGCAAUCGCUAAACCAAUCUCCUGAGGUUACUGACGAUACCGGAAGCACGAUCAGCCUGACCACGAAGGUCUAUUCCUGCAAGCAAUCGAAGAACGAGCAAGAAUAUGAUAAAGCAAUCUGAAUAUUGCGAAUAUAUAUGAAGUAUUGAUAAUGGUGGGGAUCCGUAAGCGGUCUUGGUCUGGUCGUUGGACACAAACGAAGUACACGAAGUUGCAAUGGCUAACUUUUAACUAAACAAAUCCCAAGGAAAAAGCUACUAGAUGGAUCUACUUAUAUAGGAGCAAGGGGUGGCGGCCAAGGAGGUGGGAGGACGUCCCAAGGCAUCCUAAAACCAACCCUAGGUCGUACAAGGCUCAUGGGCCCAAGUGGAGGUGAUGCAACACCUUUGGACUUGUUGUUUGACUCGGAUUCUGGUGCAACGUCAGAUUGUUUCGACCAUAACUCAAUGCUCCGGACGAAUUUAAAGGUGAAUCCAAUUGGGUUGGAAAGAGCACGAAAUCUAGUUUCCAACAAAAAAAGAAUCACCCAAUUCGGAGUCCGUAUGAAAAAGUUGUUGGCGUUUUGAGUCAGGUAUGUCUGUGUAGUCCGAAUCUGAAUCCAGAACGUGAGAGACUUGGACUCUAUCUUCUCUUGGCCCAAAAGUGACGUGAGAGGACUUUUUGAACAGAACCUAAACUUCUCCUUUUGCCUUAUCUUCAUAUGUGGAUUGUACAAAUGUCCCAUACACCUGCAAUUAGACAAAACACAAAAGUGUGUGAAGUAUUUUUGUUCUGGAUAACAUAAAUAGAUUAUUGAAUAGUUUGCACUAGAAAUCACCUGACAAAUAUGCAUGUAUGCAAUAUUUUUGGUCGUAUCCAAGGUAGUCAUGUCCUCAUCAUCCUCCCCUUCUUGAAAACAAAGCUGUCCUCGGCGUUGCUUAAUCUGAAAUGUGGCUAACAAAAGAGACAAGGUGUACAUGUUGUAUAUGUAUAUGUCAUCCAUUUUUACUUCCCGUGGAUUUUGCACAUAUGACACAUGUAUACAUGAGUAACUUUCAUAGUUAAUAAAAUAUAAAGCCAAAAUAUUAUCACAAGAAGUAGAAGGCAUGAAAGUAUUGCAACUCAGUUUGCACAUAUAAGUGAAGCUCUUAUUCAUAUGAAAAGAUUGACAAUAUUCAUCAUUAAACCAUCCCAACAUUGAUGAACCAUCACCAAGAUUAGAGGUCAUAUCAAAAUGAUUAAACAUUGGCACAAUUAUUUUCAAACAUAUUUGAUCCAAAUCUGAUUUAUUCCCUGAUUCACUUGAUUCUUUUGCAUCGAUAGUUAAUUCAAUGGGCUCACUCAAAAUUGUUUGAUCACAUGGCAAAGUCAAAUCAUCAACAUAGUCCUCUAAGGUAGCUGGUGUGAUCAAAGUAGUGGGUAGCUCACUGCAUGGUGCACUUAAAUUGACAAGACAUUCAUCAUACUCAUGUGGAAGUGGAAGAUUAGUACCUUUGUCAUUACCUCUUAUGAUCAACUCAGAUGAGGUAGGCACUCUCGGUGAUGAUGUGUCACAUGGUGGAGGUGAUGUAGUCCUCACAACAACGGAUGUGGUUGUCAUAGUAUGCUUAGUAGUUGAAGGGACGACCGUAUCAACUCUUGGAAUGUGCAUCUCGCGCUUGUUCUCCUUGUGCGCAACACGUCGUUUUAUUUCCUGUUCAGCUUUGCAAGCAAGAUGAAACAAAUGGUCCAUAGGAUAACACUCUUCAUGUAUUAGUAUCUCCUGAAUGUCACGAUUUAAUCCUCCCCAAAAUCUAUCCAUAAAAUCUUCUUCACUUUCUUCUAAAGAGGAAUGCAGCAAGGUAGUUUGUAAAGUAUCAUAAUAUUUCGUUACGGUGUCACUACCUUGUUUUAAAUGUUGCAACUUUGUAAUCAUGUCGCGAGUAUAAUAAGCGGGAACGAAUGUAUGUCGCAUGGCAAGUUUCAAAUCAUCCCAAGUAGUAGGUAUAUCAUUAGGGUGUAACCGACAAUAUUCACUCCACCAAACUACAGCAUAACCAGUGAAAGAACCAACCGCAACCUUAACUUUUUUACGCACAUCAAAAUUAUUGGAAGCAAAUAUAUUAUUUAGGUCAAACUCCCAUUCAAUAUAUAAAGCAGGUCUAAAACGGCCAUUAAAUGGUGGUAUAGAAACAUUAACCUGAUCAUGUGCAUUUGGAUGUUUGUGCACCUCUCGUGAUGGUUGUGGUAUUUGCAUAGGUGAUGGCACAUCUCCCACGAUCGACAAACCCCAUGAAUUGACUCUAGAUCCUGUCAUGAUUAGUAGAAACAAGAAACAAAAUUCAAGAAUAAUGUUCCUAUGAACUACUAGGAUGUGGUGGUAAAGCGCUCACAGUAAAGCAAAUAUCAAUAUCUUACAAGUUCUUACCAAGCAGCAGGUGGUGACAGGCAACCAGCGGUGUCAAAUAACUCCAAAGAUUGAGUAAAGCGAUUGCCAGGGGAACGUACGUAUACACGGUGUAGAAAUAUGUGGAGCUAGGUUGGCUAUAUAUGGUAGCAAAAUAUUAGCAAUAAUCAAUUCAGAGAUGCAAUGUUGAAUAAACGCUCAACGACGGUACUGUGCUGGUCCUAGGCUAGACCGGACUAGAGACGCGAGCCUAGAACACUAAUGAGGUCACGGCGUAGCACAACUAGCAUCAAUGAAGGAUACUAAGUAGCUCUGGACAGCAAGAUAUAAGUGAAGAUCACAAUGGCAGUAAAGAUAAUGAUGAAAAACAACUGCCAAGCAGGAUAUACAACAACUCUCUCCAACUUUCCUCUUGAAAAGUUUGUGCCAAUUUUCUGAUAAUUUUUUUCAAAGAAUGCUACUAACUCAAGCUUUCCAAUGCAAAAAGAAUCACUCAAUUCCGAGUUGAUAUGAGGAGUGAAAGAAUUCUGAAACUGGCUUGAAAAACUGGAAUAAGCUGUGUCCGUGAACUUCGGAGGGCAAAAAGACCUAUUUAGAAGACGAUUUUGAGGUGUCAAAUAUUGAACUAGUCUCUGCAACUAUUUAGAUGCGGCUCGUCGCUAGCUUUCAUUUGAGUACUCGCGGAGUCAAAACGGACUUCGUAUGAGGAAGGUAUGCUUGUUUUACUAAACAGUGCACAAAACAGAUUCCAAUCCGAAUUCAACUACGAGAUUGAGUCUAGAUAGAUCCGAAUUUUGUUUUUUUUCUUCUCUCUUUUUUUUUCCUCACACUUUUUUUUCUUUCUCUUUUUUUCUGACUUCUUUUUUUUCUCUCUUUUUUUUUCUCUGUCUUUUUUUUCUCUCCCUCUUUCCAAGACAAACUAGAUAAGAUGCAGAUUGGAUCAAGCGAAGAUGUGAACGACCUCAACUAUGAUUGUGACAAUGAACUAUGGGUAGCACAUGGUGGAAUUUGAUGGAUGGUGUGGUGGACAGCAGAAGGGAUAACGAUGCAGCGGCGACGUGACUAAUGUGAACAGAACUCGAAACUCUAAACGAACUAGACCCUAAGACCAGCAACUCGACACGACGAUGCAACCGAUAAUUCAAUAAUGCAAACAAUGAAUAGAAAAUUGCAAAGGCUCAGACUGGCUUGGACAAAAGGAUGAAUAGAUCUAACUUUUUUGUGGCUUUUUCUUGGACAAUAGGUAAGAAAAUAAAUCUAAUCUAGGGGAAACUGGAAAUUCUCACCGAGCAACCUGAAAACUGAUACCACUUGAUAGAGGCAAAGGUGUCCCGAUCUUUCGAUGAGAUGAUAACUAUCGAUUUGGUGGAGUCGACUUUGACGAUCCGACUACAAACGUGCACGACGUUGCGCCUUAGCAAUCGCUAAACCAAUCUCCUGAGGUUACUGACGAUGCCGGAAGCACGAUCAGCCUGACCACGAAGGUCUAUUCCUGCAAGCAAUCGAAGAACGAGCAAGAAUAUGAUAAAGCAAUCUGAAUAUUGCGAUUAUAUAUGAAGUAUUGAUAAUGGUGGGAAUCCGUAAGCGGUCUUGGUCUGGUCGUUGGACACAAACGAAGUACACGAAGUUGCAAUGGCUAACUUUUAACUAAACAAAUCCCAAGGAAAAAGCUACUAGAUGGAUCUACUUAUAUAGGAACAAGGGGUGGCGGCCAAGGAGGUGGGAGGACGUCCCAAGGCAGCCUAAAACCAACCCUAGGUCGUACAAGGCACAUGGGUCCAAGUGGAGGUGAUGCAACACCUUUGGACUUGUAGUUUGACUCGGAUUCUGGUGCAACGUCAGAUUGUUUCGACCAUAACUCAAUGCUCCGGACGAAUUUAAAGGUGAAUCCAAUUGGGUUGGAAAGAGCACGAAAUCUAGUUUCCAACAAAAAAAGAAUCACCCAAUUCGGAGUCCGUAUGAAAAAGUUGUUGGCGUUUUGAGUCAGGUAUGUCUGUGCAGUCCGAAUCUGAAUCCAGAACGUGAGAGACUUGGACUCUAUCUUCUCUUGGCCCAAAAGUGACGUGAGAGGACUUUUUGAACAGAACCUAAACUUCUCCUUUUGCCUUAUCUUCAUACGUGGAUUGUACAAAUGUCCCAUACACCUGCAAUUAGACAAAACACAAAAGUGUGUGAAGUAUUUUUGUUCUGGAUAACAUAAAUAGAUUAUUGAAUAGUUUGCACUAGAAAUCACCUGGCAAAUAUGCAUGUAUGCAAUAUUUUUGGUCGUAUCCAAGGUAGUCAUGUCCUCAUCAACAUCCCAUCUCAUCUUUGGCCAAAAGAAAUGUGUAGCAAGUAUAUCCUCCGUCUUCUUCACACCAAAGUGUCCCAUUAGUCCUCCUCCAUGCGCCUCCUGCAACAACAGAAGACGAACGGAGCUAGCUGGAAUGCAUAGCUUGUUAGCACGAAACACAAAUACAUUGUUAACGACGAACUUGUUCCAUGUUCUACCUUCUUUACAAAUCUGCAAUAUAUCUUUAAAUUCAGCAUCAUGCACAUAUUGAUCUUUGAUGGUCUCCAAACUAAAUAUUUUAAAGUCAAGUUGUGAAAGCAUAGUAUAACGACGAGACAAUGCAUCAGCAAUAACAUUUUCUUUACCCUUCUUGUGUUUAAUGACAUAAGGGAAAGUCUCAAUGAAUUCAACCCAUUUGGCAUGUCUACGGUUCAGUUUAGCUUGACUUUUAAUGUGUUUCAAUGAUUCAUGAUCAGAAUGUAUAACAAAUUCUUUGGGCCACAAAUAAUGUUGCCAUGUUUCUAAGGUCCGAACAAGAGCAUAUAAUUCUUUAUGAAUAGUUUAGACUAGGCCCACUCAUUUUUUCAGAAAAGUAUGCAACAGGUUUGCCAUCUUGUAAUAACACACCUCCUAAUCCAAUUCCACUAGCAUCACAUUCAAGCUCAAAAGUCUUAUUAAAAUCAGGAAGUUGGAGUAAAGGAGCAUGUGUCAACUUACCUUUCAAUAUCAUGUAGGCUUCUUCCUGUGCGGUACCCCAAACAAAAGGCACAUCCUUCUUUGUAAGCUCAUUGAGAGGUGCAGCUAUGGUGCUAAAAUCUCGCAGAAAACGCCUAUAGAAACCAGCGAGUCCAAGAAAACUCCUCACUUGUGUGACCGUUUUGGGCUACGGCCAACUCUCAAUAGCUUCAAUCUUGGCUUUAUCAACUUCAAUUCCCUGUGGAGUAACAACAUAGCCAAGAAAAGAUACUCGGUCGGUGCAAAAGGUGCACUUCCCAAGGUUACCAAACAAACGUGCAUCACGUAGAGCAAUAAAAACAGCACGUAAAUGUUCCAAAUGUUCUUCCAAAGAUUUGCUAUAAAUCAGUAUAUCAUCAAAAUAGACUACCACAAAUCGUCCUAUGAAAGCACGUAAAACUUCGUUCAUUAGUCUCAUGAAAGUACUAGGUGCAUUAGUUAACCCAAAAGGCAUGACUAACCACUCAUAUAAACCAAACUUAGUUUUAAAAGCUGUUUUCCAUUCAUCUCCCAAUUUCGUACGAAUUUGAUGGUAUCCACUACGCAAAUCAACUUUGGAGAAUAUUGUAGAGCCACUUAAUUCAUCAAGCAUAUCAUCUAGCCUAGGAAUAGGAUGACAAUAAUGAAUAGUAAUAUUAUUAAUGCCUCUACAAUCAACACACAUACGCGACGUACCAUCCUGAUGCGGAGCAUCCUACGAUCAUCCCCAUGGACCUACCAUCGUCUCAUCAAGAGCCAAGAGGACCUAUGACACGAGCACAAGCUAGAGCUCUCGAGAAUGAGGUGACUUCCUUCCUUAGUGAUAUCACAUAUGAUCCACUCGAGACAUGGCUACUACCUAAGUCCGAUAUGCUAUGCAUGAUUAGGUGUCAAGAGGAGCCUCCCGAGGAUGCACGUGAAGACGGACAAGCCGCCAAGUCCAUGGAUGAAGAGAACCAAUGGAAACGGGCAAGUUCACCUUCCAGGUCCCAGUCAUCCGGCCAAGACCCCGGACAUCCGUGAUAGAGGCAAAGGUGUCCCGUCUUUCGAUGAGAUGAUGGAUAUCGCUUUGGUGGAAGUCGACUUUGACGAUCCGACUACGAACGUGCGAUGACAUCGCGCCUUAGCAAUCGCUAAACCAACUCCGAGAGGUUAUUGACCACGCCGGAGCACGAUCAACCUGACCACGAGGGUCUAUUUCCUGCGAGCAAACGAAGAACAAGCAAGAAACUGAGAUUGCAAUCUGGAUAUUGCGAAUAUAAGAUGAAAGCUUUAUUGAUCAAGGUGGGGUUCUGUGACGCCUUUGUCUGGUCGUUGAACACAAACGAAGUACGCGAAGUUGCAGCUAUGGCGAACUUUUAAUCUAAACAAAACCCAAAGUUUAAACAACGCCCUAAGGGCUGUAUAUAUGGAGGAAGAGGGGGGAAUUUCGUGGCCCUUGGGGAAGGGGUCCGAAACCAACCCUAUCUCUUGUUUCCCCACACAUACGGACUCUAAAAAUAGCCUAUACUCAAGUAUUUCGAAAUUACAUGGGCCUGUCCCAAUAAUAAGGUGACGCAGCACCUAGAAUAGCCUCUGGACGGAAGUUAUGAAGUAGCAUCUUGUAUAUUUCGUCCAAGGCUUCAUGCUCGCAUUAUGGUGGCUUCAACGUCCUGAAAUCAUCACUUGUAACUCCGUUCUUGUUCCCCAUGCGCAUGCCAUCAUCUCCAUGCUUGUUCUUGCUCCAAUGUUCAUCCUUCUCAAAGCUAGGUCCUUCAUUUAUAAGCAAAACAAAUGUAUCCAAUUUAGGCAACAUCAUAUUCUCAUGAACAUUAGAAUCAUUACCAAGAAACGAAAGUACCUGGUAAUUUAAUUGGCGUGCGCGAGCUCUAGUAAUUGGUCCAUUAUGUAUAGCAGCAGGGGCUGUGGGUGUAACAAUGGUAUUGAUGUCCUCAUCAUCCUCCCCUUCUUGAAAUGAAGUCGUCCUCGACGGAAGCUCAUCUCCCUCACCCAAAUAAGGCUUCAAAUCUGCAAUGUUAAAAGUGGGAGUAACCCCAAAAUCUACAGGCAGCUCAAGUUUAUAUGCAUUAUCAUUUAUUUUCUCUAACACCUUAAAAGGACCAUCAACACGUGGCAUUAGCUUUGAUUUGCGCAAAUCAGGAAAUCUAUCCUUACGCAAAUGUAACCAAACAAGUCUCCAGGUGCAAACACAACAUGUUUUCUACCCUUAUCUCCAGCAAGUUUAUAUUUAGCAUUCAUACGCUCAAUGUUUUCCUUAGUUAACUCAUGCAUUUUUAAGAUCAAUUCAGCACGUUGUUUAGCAUCAAAAUUAACCUUCUCCGAAGAUGGAAGAGGCAACAAAUCAAUAGGUGCACGAGGUAGGAAACCAUACACAAUUUCAAAAGGGCACAUCUUACUAGUAGAAUGCAAUGAACGAUUAUAAGCAAACUCAAUAUGAGGCAAGCAUUCUUCCCACAUUUUCUUAUUAUUCUUCAAAACAGCCCUAAGCAUAGUAGACAAUGUUCUAUUGACUACUUCAGUUUGUCCAUCAGUUUGGGGGUGACAAGUAGUACUAAAAAGCAGUUUAGUCCCCAACUUAGCCCAUAAACAUCUCCAAAAGUGGCUAAGAAAUUUAGUAUCACGAUCUGAAACAAUAGUAUUUGGCACACCAUGCAAACGAAUAAUUUCACGGAAGAACAAAUCAGCAACAUUAACAGCAUCAUCGCUUUUAUGACAUGGUAUAAAGUGUGCCAUUUUUGAGAAUCUAUCCACGACAACAAAUAUGCUAUCCCUCCCCUUCUUUGUUCGAGGUAAACCUAAAACAAAGUCCAGAGAUAUAUCCUCCCAAGGAACACUAGGCACAGGCAAAGGCAUAUAUAAACCAUGAGGAUUGAGUCGUGACUUAGCUUUUUGACAUGUAGUGCAGCGAGCAACAAAACGCUCAACAUCCCGUCUCAUCUUUGGCCAAAAGAAAUGUGUAGCAAGUACGUCCUCCGUCUUCUUCACGCCAAAGUGUCCCAUUAAUCCUCCUCCAUGCGCCUCCUGCAACAACAAAAGACGAAGAGAGCUAGCUGGAAUGCAUAGCUUGUUAGCACGGAACACAAAUCCAUCAUUAACGACAAACUUGUUCCAGGUUCUUCCUUCUUUACAAUUCUGCAAAACAUCUUUAAAAUCAGCAUCAUGCACAUAUUGAUCUUUGAUGGUCUCCAAAUCAAAUAUUUUGAAGUCAAGUUGUGACAGCAUAGUAUAGCGACGAGACAAUGCAUCAGUAAUAACAUUUUCUUUACCCUUCUCGUGUUUAAUGACAUAAGGGAAAGUUUCAAUGAAUUCAACCCAUUUAGCAUGUCUACGAUUCAGUUUAGCUUGACUUUUAAUAUGUUUCAAAGAUUCAUGAUCAGAAUGUAUAACAAAUUCUUUGGGCCAUAAAUAAUGUUGCCAUGUUUCUAAAGUCCGAACAAGAGCAUAUAGUUCUUUAUCAUAAGUAGAAUAAUUCAGACUAGGCCCACCCAAUUUUUCAGAAAAGUAUGCAACAGGUUUACCAUCUUGUAAUAACACACCUCCUAAUCCAAUUCCACUAGCAUCACAUUCAAGCUCAAAAGUCUUAUUAAAAUCAGGAAGUUGGAGUAAAGGAGCAUGUGUCAACUUAUCUUUCAAACAAAAGGCACAUCCUUCUUUGUAAGCUCGUUGAGAGGUGCAGCAAUGGUGCUGAAAUCUCUCACAAAACGCCUAUAGAAACCAGCGAGGCCAAGGAAACUCCUCACUUGUGUGACCGUUUUGGGCUGCGGCCAACUCUCAAUAGCUUCAAUCUUGGCUUUAUCAGCUUAAAUUCCCUGUGGAGUAACAACAUAGCCAAGAAAAGAUACUCGGUCGGUGCAAAAGGUGCACUUCCCAAGGUUACCAAACAAACGUGCAUCACGUAGAGCAAUAAAAACAGCACGUAAAUGUUCCAAAUAUUCUUCCAAAGAUUUGCUAUAAAUCAGUAUAUCAUCAAAAUAGACUACCACAAACCGUCCAAUAAAAGCACGUAAAACUUCGUUCAUUAGUCUCAUGAAAGUACUAGGUGCAUUAGUUAACCCGAAAGGCAUGACUAACCACUCAUAUAAACCAAACUUAGUUUUAAAUGUUGUUUUCCAUUCAUCUCCCAGUUUCAUACGAAUUUGAUGGUAUCCACUACGCAAAUCAACUUUGGAAAAAAUUGUAGAGCCACUAAUUUCAUCAAGCAUAUCAUCUAGCCUAGUAAUAGGAUGACGAUAACGAAUAGUAAUGUUAUUAAUGCCUCUACAAUCAACACACAUACGCGAUGUACCAUCCUUUUUAGGCACAAGUAUAAUAGGAACAACACAAGGACUAAGAGAUUCGCGUAUAUAACCUUUGUCGAGCAGCUCCUGUACUUGACGCAUAAUCUCCUUCGUCUCCUCUGGAUUGGUACGGUAUGGUGCACGGUUGGGUAGCGAUGCACCGGGAAUUAAGUCAAUUUGAUGCUCAAUCCCUCGAAUAGGUGGUAAUCCCGGUGGCAUGUCUUGUGGAAAGACGUCAGCGAACUCCUGCAAAAUGUUAGUGACAGCAGGGGGCAAAGAGGAAGGCACGUCCUCGAAUGAAAAUAAUGCCUCUUUGCACACAAAAGCGUAGCAAACAGAUUUGUUGAAAUCUAGCUCAUCAAUAUCAGAUUUUGUGGCAAGUAAACAUGCACUUUUCAAUUUAAUUUCAGAAACAACACUAGAUGGUUUAUUAUUAGGUUUCAUUUGCUCAAAUUCUUUUGCCACAAUCUGAUUUUCACUCUUAUUUUUCUCCUGUUUUGCUUUAUUAGCUCUAUUAAUGUCAUCUUUCAAAAUGGAAUCAGGAGUCAUUGGAAGCAAAGUAAUAUUUUUAUCCUUAUGAACAAGAGUAUACUGAUUGUUUCUACCAUGGUGUACAGAGUUUUUAUCAAAUUGCCAUGGUCUACCAAGUAAUAAGGAACAUGCUUGCAUGGGUACCACAUCACAAUCAACAUAAUCAGCAUAUGUAGAGAUACUAAAAUGCACACGAACAGUACGUGUUACCUUAACCUUGCCGCUGUUGUUGAACCAUUGGAUGUAGUAAGGAUGUGGAUGUGGUCUUGUGGUGAGAGAUAGUUUCUCCACCAUCUCCAUGCUAGCCAAGUUGUUACAGCUCCCUCCAUCUAUGAUGACGCGAACAGAACGUUCCUUCACAACUCCCUUUGUAUGGAACAAAUUAUGCCUCUGAUUUUGCUCUGCUUGUGUGACCUGCACACUCAAAACACGUUGAGCAACUAAACAUUCAUACAUGUCAGCGUCUUCAGGAGCCAUGAUUGCGUCUCAUUUUCAGAAUCAUGUCCACCAUGUUCUUCACGUGUAAUAAGAGCCAAAGUCUCCUCAUCAUAGUCACUAGCGGACUCAUACCCACCAUCCUCAGUAGCAAUCAUUACACGCUGAGAUUUGCAUUCUCGCGCAUAAUGUCCUCUUCCCUUACAACGACAACAAAUAAUAUGACUUGUGUGCCCUGUUGAUGCCAUGGAAGAAGAAGAGCUCUGUGCAGGCCCGGCAGGUGCGCUCUUGGCAGAUAGUGGUGGUUGUGCCUGCUUUCUUGUAUCACGGCUGGAGGUGGAACCUGAUGGAGGUGCUGGUGCAGUGGAAGUAGAAGAUGCACGCGGUGUCCAUGAUGAAGGUCGACCUGCAGAAAAGUUAGUUCGCGCCAAUGCUUGUCGAUCCUGCACUUCACGUUCAGCUUUACAAGCAAGAUGGAAUAAACGAGUGAUAUUAGUAUACUCCUUAUACUCUAGAAUGGUCUGAAUCUCUCUAUUUAAACCACCCAUAAAACGUGCAAGCAUAGCUUCAUUCUCCUCAACAAUACCACAUCUAAUCAUGCCAGUUUGUAAUUCCUGAUAAUAUUCUUCUACAGAAUUUUUCCCUUGUCGUAAACGCUGCAGUUUUUGAAGCAAUUCACGUUGAUAAUAUGGUGGAACCCAACGAGUACGCAUAGCAGUUUUCAAAGCAGCCCAAGUAUCUGGAAUAGGAUAUAAUCUACAAUGUUCAGAGACCACCAUACACAUGCAAAACUAGUUAAAGCACAAACAGCAGCAGCAACCCGUCUCUCCUCGGGAUAUUGUAAACAUGUAAAACGUUGUUCAGUUUCUAACUCCCAGGUAAGAUAUACAUCAGGAAUGUAUCUACCCUCAAACGGUGGAAUAUUCAAUUUCAGUUUAGGAACAUGGUCAUGAUCUCGUACCUGAGGUGGUGGUGCAGGCCUACCGUUGUGAAUAUAUACCUGAGGUCGACCUGCUGGAGGUGGUGCUGGUGGCUGCACGUAGUUCUGAUUUUGAUCAACCUCAUCCUCAUAAUCGCCCACAUAAUCGUCAUCCUCCUCAGCCGCCGCAGUAGCAGGAGCCAAAGAAGCAUCAACAGUAGGUGCAGCGGCACCCGAAUUUUGACCAGUCUCAAUUGGAACGCGCUGUGCUCGUCCCACUUGAUUUGGAAGGCGGCGUUGGAGAUGUGGUUGUUGUUGUUGUAGAGGUGCGACAGGUGCAGCCGGUGGUGGUUGGGAAGACGCUUGAGCAAUUCAUUAAACCUGUUAUCCAGCUUGGUCGCAAACGACUUCUCCACGGCAUCUAUCUUCUCCAUAGCCUCUUCAAAUCUGUUUAGCACAUCUCCCACCUGGCCACUCAUCAUUUGCUGAAAUUUAUCAUGCAACCCCUUGUUCGUCAUGUUCUCCCAAUCAGUCUCAUCGGCUUGUGAUCCUGCCAUGGUUAGCAGCAAUAGAAACACAAAAGAAUAUGAUCCUACAGACUACUAGGAAGUGGUGGUGAUGGUGGUGUGUCACAAAUCCUUCAAGCGAAUCUCAAAUUCUUACCAGUUCUUACCCAACAGCAGGUGGUGAUCGGCAACCGUUGUAGUCAAAACUCUCAAAGCUUGGAUAGAUCGAUUACCAGGGAGAGUCAAACGCAUGACGUAGAUGUAUGUGGAGCUGGGAAGGCUUAUAAUAUGGUAGCAAAAAGGGUCAGCAAUAAUCAAUUCAGAUAUGCAAAGUUGAAUAAACGCUCAACGACGGUACUGUGCUGGUCCUAGGCUAGACCGUGCUAGAGACGCGAGCCGAGAACACUAACAAAAUCACGGCGCCGCACGUAAACAAGGGAGGAGCACACUCUGAAUUUUUUCACUUUUUUUUGCUCCGCAACAAUUUUUUUUUGAAAAAGUCUAAAAAUGGUCUAAAAACUGCCUAGCCAGAAUUUUCCAGACUUAGUUUUUUUUUAAACUAGAACUAUUUUUCUACUGCGGGUAACACAAAAGUUUGGGAGUCCUUCUCUGUCACGGCUCGGAGUAUGGCGUGAUCUAGAAAUCCAAAACAGAGUAACAAAUACUGGACUUGGACUGGUGGCGGAGAUGAAUCUGGUGGAACUCGGACUGGUGGCGGAUAUAUGUUGCAGGUGUACUCGGAUUGGCUUGAUGGCGGCGGAUAUGUGGUGGCGUUUAUAUGGACUCGGAUUGGCGGUGAAUAUGUGGUGGUGGUAUAUGGCAGCGGUGAUGAAGUUGGUGCGGUGGUGGUAUAUGGCAGCAGCGAUGAUGAUGAUGCGGUGGUGAUAUAUGGCAGCGGCGACGUGACAACCUGUGGACAGAACUCGAAACUCUAAAGGACUAGACGCUAAGACCAGCAACUUGACACGAUGAUGCAACCGCAAAUUCAACAAAGCAAACACAGAAAAGAUUAUGCAAAGGCUCAGAUUGGUUCGGAUAGGAUGAACUAACCCUAAAUUUUUUUUGGCUUUUCCAUGGACUAUAGGUAUGAAGAACAAACUCGAUCUAAACUACGAAAAACUGUAAAAUCUCACCGAGCAACAUGGAAAUCUGAUACCACUUGAUAGAGGCAAAGGUGUCCCGUCUUUCGAUGAGAUGAUGGAUAUCGCUUUGGUGGAAGUCGACUUUGACGAUCCGACUACGAACGUGCGAUGACGUCGCGCCUUAGCAAUCGCUAAACCAACUCCGAGAGGUUAUUGACCACGCCAGAGCACGAUCAACCUGACCACGAGGGUCUGUUUCCUGCGAGCAAACAAAGAACAAGCAAGAAACUGAGAUUGCAAUCUGGAUAUUGCGAAUAUAAGAUGAAAGCUUUAUUGAUCAAGGUGGGGUUCUGUGACGCCUUUGUCUGGUCGUUGAACACAAACGAAGUACGCGAAGUUGCAGCUAUAGCGAACUUUUAAUCUAAACAAAACCCAAAGUCUAAACGACGCCCUAAGGGCUGUAUAUAUGGAGGAAGAGGGGGCGGGGGAAUUCGUGGCCCUUGGGGAAGGGGUCCGAAACCAACCCUAUCUCUUGUUUCCCCACACAUACGGACUCUAAAAACAGCCUAUACUCAAGUAUUUCGAAAUUACAUGGGCCUGGCUCAAUAAUAAGGUGACGCAGCACAUAGAAUAGCCUCUGGACGAAAGUUAUGAAGUAGCAUCUUGUAUAUUUCGUCCAAGGCAUCAUGCACGCAAUAUGGUGGCUUCAACGUCCUGAAAUCAUCACUUGUAACUCCGUUCUUGUUCCCCAUGCGCAUGCCAUCAUCUCCAUGCUUGUUCUUGCUCCAAUGUUCAUCCUUCUCAAAGCUAGGUCCUUCAUUUGUAAGCAAAACAAAUGUAUCCAAUUUAGGCAGCAUCAUAUUCUCAUGAACAUUAGAAUCAUUACCAAGAAAAGAAAGUACCUGGUAAUUUAAUUGGCGUGCGCGAGCUCUAGUAAUUGGUCCAGUAUGUAUAGCAGCAGGGGUUGUGGGUGUAACAAUGGUAUUGAUGUCCUCAUCAAUCCGGCCCCUGGAGCAACCACAGCAGCAGCAGCCCAGACGCCCAAGUCUACAGGGCCUGGACAUCCGGCGUCCAGCCCGGAUAUCCGGCCCAAGCCCGAAAAUCCGGCGCCACGCUAUAGAACAUCCAGAAGCUGAGCCCUCCAGCCCGGACAUCCGGCCACCAAGCCCGGACAUCCGGCCCCUCGGGAAGGCCCGGACAUCCGGCCCGUCGCCCGGACAUCCGGCCCCCCUGUCUGCGCAUAGUAAAGGGCCAAGACACGUGUACCCCUUCGACCCUCUAGACUAUAUAUACUCCUUCUCCCCCAUCUUUCUAGGGUUAGCAUUGGUUUAGCUCAUAUGUGAGAUAGAGCAUUGCUCAUCCAUUACGGAUCAACUCCACGAGAGAGACUGCGGCCCCUCUAUGGAGAAGAUCCACCUUGGAUUCAAGACCUCUUCACGGAGAAGAACCCCAUCAAGACCUCCUCACGGAGAAGAAACGGUUACCCUUUGUAUCGUCCUUUGUUGACUUUGGAUCUUGUAUCUUACCUUUGUGUUCACCGAUCUACCGCAUGUGUGAUCUAUUCUUGUUGGUUGAGUGAUUUCUCUCGUGUUCCCCUCGUGUUUCCCCUCGUGUUCAUCACGUUCUUCAUAGGGAUCAUUGAUAACCCCAUGGCCUUACUGUUGCGUAGCUUACCCAUCGAGACUAGCCUUUGAGUAUUGCCGGCAACGUGACUUGUGCACAUUAGUGUUCACACUUCCCAUAGCAUACAUAUCAUCAGUGAGUUGCAUAUCUUGGUAUCAUCUCUUGUGUCACAAAGUUGUCUUCGCAUACACAAUUGCUAUCUUGGUUCGUGAAGCAUUGCAUGAGAAAAGAGCUCAAACAACAAAGAGCCAAACAAGCUUUUAAGCAAAAGGGAAAGAUAAGCAAAGAGCUUAUAAGCAAGAACCAUAGCAUCAUACAACAUUAAGAUUGUCAUACUCGAUCAUCUUGGAUAAAAGCAUAGAAACAUCAUACAUAUAGCAUACUUGGGAUAGAAGUCGUUGCAUUUUUGGUUAGUAGGUUGUGCACAAGUUCGUAUCCGCCUAUUGUGCAAUCGUGCUAGCGUCUCUCUAGUGUUGUGCAACAAGAGCAUCUUGGUGGAUUCCACAUUUUGGCUCAUCCUUGGAUGCCCAACCCCACAUUAUCUAUUUGCGUGUGUGUUUCCGUGUACCAUAUCUUGCUACUGGUCUACUUGUUGCAUUUGCAAAUUUGUGAAUCUUUUCCAACAUUAUUGAGUCUCACUUACAAUUGCAUCAAAUUUUGUGCCACCAUCCUAACCAAGCUCCACCAUAAGCUUUUACUUGUGUAGGUGUGAGAACCGACAAGAAUUGGUACCAAUUGUGCUAUUUCCUUGCUACACAUUGCAGUGAUCUUUGAUCCAUUUUCAACAUCGGUCAAGGUACAUUUGGUAUUGGUUCUUCUCUUUCUCCCACUCACAUAUUUUUGUUUGAAAUGAUGGAUAGGCCAAGUACUCCCACUUUUCUUGGAGCAAGACGACGACAUGUCAUCCUACGUCACAAAGACUCAACUAUUUGGUGCACAUCGGGCUUUGCAUCAAGAACAACUUGCUUUGGGCGACUGCAUCGACAAUCUCGCCACCGACCUAUGACAAUCCAUGAGUUCCCUCAAAGAAGAUAUCCGAACAUGAUGGUCCGCUCUUCUACAACUUCGUCCUCGUCAAGAAGGAGCCGCUCAAGUCGCCACUCCGAGGACUCCCUCUCCGGUUCAAGUACACCGACAUCAAACACUCUUCGUCGUGCCGCGCGUCAAGACCGUCAAGCUAACCGCAAUCCUCUUCACGACACCGACUCUCCAGAGCAUCGACAUCGUCAAAACCAAGCUGCUUUCGCACAAGCACAAGAUCGGCAACGCCAACGACAACACAAACAAGAGGAGCAAGCACGACAACAUCAAGAUGCACAAGACGCCGAGGCGCAACGUCAAGAACAACAACUAUGUGAAGCUCAAGCACUUGAGGCGCAAUGUGCCCUUCAAGAUUCAAGUCGUGUCAUAGCCAAUUGAAGCCGACAAGAUCGAAUACAUCAAGAAGCACUUCGCGACGAAGCUCACGAAAGGAUUUACGAAGCACGUGUGCAUCGACAAGCUCCUCGACAAGAUCGACAAGCUCCUCGACAAGAUCGACAAGUUCCUCGUCAAGAUCGACAAGCUCCUCCUCAAGCGAGACAAGAACGGCAACAGCAUCAUGAGGAAGACAACCCUCCUCGCCAAGAGCAACAUGAGGAAGACAACCCUCCUCGCCAAGAGCGACAUGAGAUUGCCAAUCCUCACCGACAUGGGCGUCAUCAUCCCUGACCCCAACACAAUGAAGAGCAACGAUAUGGCAAGCUAAAGUUCACCGUGCCCAAGUUUACCGGAAGCAAUGACCCCGAAGAGUACAUAUCAUGGGCAUUGAAGGUUGGCAAAAUCUUCCGCUUGCACAACUACGAAGAAGAAAAGAAAAUCGCAAUGGCAUCCCUUGAAUUCCAAGACUACGUCCUCAUUUGGUGGGAACAAGUCAUUGAGCGCCGAGCGGCAAGAGGUGAACCACCCAUCACCAUUUGGGCACAAAUGAAGGAUGUCAUGAGAGCAUGAUUCGUGCCAAACUACUACAACCGCGACCUCUUCAAGAAACUCCAACAACUCAAGCAAGGAACCAAGAGCGUUGAAGAGUACUACAAGGAAAUGGAGAUUGCCAUGAUACGAGUCAAUGUCAAAGAAGAUGAUGAGCAAACUAUUGCGCGUUUCUUGAAUGGACUCAAUCACCCUAUCAAGAAGAUUGCCGAUUUCCAACCAUACUCGAACCUCAUCGAGCUAGUGCAUCAAGCUACCAAAGUGGAACGGCAAGUACAAGAUGACUUCAAGUAUGCCAAGUUCUCAUCCAAGUCCUAUGGUCUCUCCAGCAAUCAAGUUUCGACGACUCCCACUACGAGCAACGGCGACAAGUCAAGUUACAAGAAAGCUUCGACAAGCUCAAGUCGUCCUCCUACUACAAGCAACUUCAAGCCGAAAGCUUCAUGAUCAUCUACUCCAACCGAUGAGACCAUCAAGACAAGUUCCAUCAAAUGUUUCACAUGCGGAGGCCGAGGCCACAAGUCCUUCGAGUGCACAAACAAGCGCACCAUGAUCCUCAACGACGACGGAACCUACAAAUCCAUGAGUGAAGGAGAAAUGGAAGCCCUUGAGCAAGUGGCCAUGCACCGACAAGUGAACAAUGAAGAAGAAGAUGAUCACAUCUUUUGUGACGAAGACUCAAGUCCCGCUCUUGUUGUCUCCAAGGUCUUGACUCUUCAACAUCAACUAGACGAAUAUCAAAGAUGCCACAUCUUCCACACAAAGGCCGGCAUCAAUGGACGGUCCGUCAAGGUCAUCGUCGAUGGAGGGAGUUGCCAUAACUUGGCAAGUGAAGAAAUAUGGUCCAAACUCCAAUUGGUCAAGAGGAAGCACCCGCACCCCUACAAGGUUCAAUGGUUAAGCGACACCGGCACCAUACAAGUCGAGCAUAGAGUACAAGUCUCUUUCAAGAUCGGCACCUAUGAAGACACUUUGGAAUGUGAUGUCCUUCCGAUGACCGUUUGCCACCUCCUUCUUGGACGGCCAUGGCAAUUUGACCGAGGUGUCAUUCGCAAUGGGCGUACAAAUCAAUAUAGUUUCAAGAUGAAAGGGAAAGAGUUUGUGCUACGUCCUAUGUCCCCAAGCCAAGUGCUCGCCGACAAGCAAAACACCCAUCAUGGAGAGAAUAGUGAGAGAGCGAACCACCAAAAAGAGAGUGAGCGCCACAAGCCCAAAUUGAGUGCCUCCACAAUGAGCGACAAGAAAAACUUAGUUCUCUUUGCCACCAAACGUGAGAUGAGAGAAGUGUGUGAGAACCCAUCACAUGUCCUACACUAUGUCCUAUUGUGCAAGGACGAGGCACCAAAAACUAACAACUCUCACGAUAUACCUUUGGUGUUAUCUUGUUUAUUGCAGGAAUUCCAAGAUGUUUUCCCUGAUGAGCUACCUCCGGGUCUACCUCCACUACGAGGCAUUGAGCACUGAAUCGAUCUCAUCCCCGGAGCGCCGCUUCCAAACAAAGCGCCCUACCGCGUCAACCCCGAAGAAACCAAAGAAAUUCAAAGGCAAGUAAAGCAUCUCAUUGACCAUGGACAUGUGCGUGAAAGUUUGAGUCCUUGUGCCGUACCGGUCAUUCUUGUGCCAAAACGAGACGGUAGUUUUUGCAUGUGUUCCGUUUGUAGACCUAUCAAUGCCAUCACCGUUCGAUAUAGGUACCCCAUUCCACGCCUUGAUGAUAUGCUUGAUGAACUUUGCGGUGCCACUAUCUUUUCCAAAAUUGAUCUUAAAAGUGGUUACUAUCAAAUCCGCAUACAAGAGGGUGAUGAAUGGAAAACCGCUUUCAAAACAAAGUUUGGUCUAUAUGAGUGGUUAGUCAUAUGGGUUUAUCGGAAGCACCCGCUACAUUCAUGCGCCUUAUGCAUCAUGUGUUUCGCCCUUACAUUGGUGAAUUUGUUGUUGUCUACUUUGAUGAUAUCCUUGUGUUUAGCAAAUCUCUCAAAGAGCAUGUCACGCACCUUCGCACCAUGCUACAAACUCUUCGAAAAGAGCAACUUUAUGCUAAUAUGGAAAAAUGCCUCUUUGGUGUUGAUAAGCUUGUUUUCUUGGGUUUCAUAGUGUCUUCUAAGGGUGUUCAUGUUGAUGAAUCUCAGAUCAAUGCUAUUAAAACUUGGCCCCAACCAACAAAGUUGCAACAAGUGCGUCGUUUUCUUGGUUUAGCCGGUUUCUACCGUAGAUUUGUGAAGGAUUUUAGCACCAUUGCUUCACCUUUGCAUGCUUUGAGUAAGAAAAAUGCACCGUUUGUUUGGGGAACAUCCCAAGAUAUCGCUUUCAAUGAGCUUAAGAAUUUGCUUACUCAUGCUCCCGUGCUUGCAUUACCCAACUUUGACAAACCUUUCGAAAUUCAUUGCGAUGCUAGUGGUAAUGGCAUAGGAGGUGUGUUAACACAAGAGAAGCGCACAAUUGCUUAUUUUAGUGAGAAACUCUCCGGAGCGCAACUCAAUUACCCCAUCUAUGACAAAGAGCUAUAUGCUUUAGUGCGAGUUUUGCAUGAAUGGGAACAUUACCUACGCCCUCAUGAGUUCAUCAUCCAUACCGACCAUGAAACGCUUAAAUACCUUAAGGGUCAAACUAAGUUGAACAAGCGUCAUGCUAAAUGGAGUGAGUUUAUUGAGUCUUUUCCUUAUCUCAUCAAGUAUAUUAAAGGUUAGGAAAAUGUUGUGGCGGAUGCACUUUCCCGUAUAUGCAUGCUUGUUACUCAACUUGAGUUAAAUGUCAUAUGCUUUGAGCAUAUAAAAGACUUGUAUGAGCAUGAUCUUUCUUUUGCCAUUCCUUAUGCUAAGUGUUUGACGCAUACUUCUUGGGAUCGAUAGUACAUCAAACAUGGAUAUCUUAUGAGAGCUAACAAACUUUGCAUCCCCGAGUCCUCUCUUCGCUUGUUGCUUUUGCAGGAAUCUCAUGGAGGCGGACUCAUGGGACACUUUGGAUGCGACAAGACAUUUGCUACACUUUCCAAGAACUACUUUUCGCCCAAGAUGUUUCGCGACGUCAAUCGCUUCACCAACCGAUGCUCUACAUGUCGCAAAGCUAAGUCCAAAGCCCAAUCUCAUGGCCUCUAUAUGCCACUUCCAAUUCCAUAUCACCCAUGGGAAGAUAUUAGCAUGGACUUUGUGCUUGGUUUGCCUAGAACUAGAAAUGGCAAGGAUUCCGUUUUUGUUGUUGUUGACCGAUUCUCCAAAAUGGCUCAUUUCAUUCCUUGCAACAAGAUAGACGAUGCUUCACAUGUUGCAAAUUUGUUUUGUAGGGAAAUCUUGCGCCUUCAUGGAGUGUCAAAGACGAUUGUCUCGGACCAGGACGUCAAGUUCUUGAGUUACUUUUGGAAGACCUUGUGCGCCAAGCUCGGAAUCAAGCUUUUGUUCUCUUCAGCAUACCAUCCACAAACCGACGGCCAAAUGGAGGUGAUGAACCGCACGCUCUCCACUCUACUACGCGUGUUGAUAAAGAAGAACAUCAAGGAGUGGGAGGAGUGCCUACCUAUCGCCGAGUACGCCUACAACCGUGCAAGACAUUCGACUACCGGCAAGUCCCCCUUCGAGGUCGUCUAUGGCUUCAACCCAUUGUCACCAUUGGACAUUCUACCUCUACCGCUACAAGAGCGCACAAACAUGGACGCGAGUGCCCGGGUCAACUUCCUCAAGAAGAUGCAUGAAGAUACAAGGAACACCAUCGAGCGCCAAGUACAACGACUCGCGACCAAGCUCAACGUCAACAAGCAACCCAUGAUGUUCAAUGUUGGAGAUCUUGUGUGGCUACACCUUCGCAAGGAUCGCUUCCCCAAGGAACGCAUGUCCAAGCUACUACCCCGAGCGGAUGGACCCUUCAAGGUGCUUGCACGCUACAACAACAACGCAUACAAGAUCGACAUCCCACGCGACAAGUACUCCGUGAGCAACAUCUUCAACACCAAAGAUCUCUCCCCGUACCAUGGUGAUGAGAAUUUCGAUCCGAGGUCAGAUCUUUCCCAAGGGAGGGGAGAUGAUGCGGAGCAUCCUACGAUCAUCCCCAUGGACCUACCAUCGUCUCAUCAAGAGCCAAGAGGACCUAUGACACGAGCACGAGCUAGAGCUCUCGAGAACGAGGUGACUUCCUUCCUUAGUGAUAUCACAUAUGAUCCACUCGAGACAUGGCUACUACCUAAGUCCGAUAUGCUAUGCAUGAUUAGGUGUCAAGAGGAGCCUCCCGAGGAUGCACGUGAAGACGGACAAGCCGCCAAGUCCAUGGAUGAAGAGAACCAACGGAAACGGGCAAGUUCACCUUCCAGGCCCCGGACAUCCGGCCCCUGGAGCAACCACAGCAGCAGCAGCCCAGACGCCCAAGUCUACAGGGCCCGGACAUCCGGCGUCCAGCCCGGACAUCCGGCCCAAGCCCGGAAAUCCGGCGCCAUGCUACAGAACAUCCAGAAGCUGAGCCCUCCAGCCUGGACAUCUGGCCACCAAGCCCGGACAUCCGGCCCCUCGGGAAGGCCCGGACAUCCGGCCCGUCGCCCGGACAUCCGGCCCCCCUGUCUGCGCACAGUAAAGGGCCGAGACCCGUGUACCCCUUCGACCCUCUAGACUAUAUAUACUCCUUCUCCCCCAUCUUUCUAGGGUUAGCAUUGGUUUAGCUCAUAUGUGAGAUAGAGCAUUGCUCAUCCAUUACAGAUCUACUUCACGAGAGAGACCACGGCCCCUCUACGGAGAAGAUCCACCUUGGAUUCAAGACCUCCUCACGGAGAAGACCCCCAUCAAGACCUCCUCACGGAGAAGAACUGGUUACCCUUUGUAUCGUCCUUUGUUGCCUUUGGAUCUUGUAUCUUACCUUUGUGUUCACCGAUCUAGCGCAUGUGUGACCUAUUCUUGUUGAUUGAGUGAUUUCUCUCGUGUUCCCCUCAUGUUUCCCUCGUGUUCAUCACGUUCUUCGUAGGGAUCCGCUCCUUUCGUGAAAGAUCGGCCAUCUAGGGUUCCGCCCUACGUCACAUGCUUUUUCGGCACUAGAAUAAUAGGAACAACACAAGGACUAAGGGAUUCGCGAAUAUAACCUUUGUCGAGCAGCUUCUGUACUUGACGCAUAAUCUCCUUCGUCUCCUCUGGAUUGGUACGGUAUGGUGCACGGUUGGGUAGCGAUGCACCGGGAAUUAAGUCAAUUUGAUGCUCAAUCCCUCGAAUAGGUGGUAAUCCCAGUGGCACGUCUUGUGGGAAGACGUCAGCGAACUCCUGCAAAAUGUUAGUGACUGCAGGGGGCAAAGAGGAAGGCACGUCCUCGAAUGAAAAUAAUGCCUCUUUGCACACAAAAGCAUAGCAAACAGAUUUGCUAAAAACUAGCUCAUCAAUAUCAGAUUUGGUGGCAAGUAAACAUGCACUUUUCAAUUUAAUUUCAGAAGCAACACUAGAUGGUUUAUUAUUAGGCUUCAUUUGUUGCUCAAAUUCUUUUGCCACAAUAUGAUUUUCACUCUUAUUUUUCUCCUGUUUUGCUUUUUUAGCUCUAUGAAUAUCAUCUUUCAAAAUGGAAUCAGGAGUCAUAGGAAGCAAAGUAAUAUUUGUAUCCUUAUGAACAAGAGUAUACUGAUUGUUUCUACCAUGGUGUACAUCAUUUUUAUCAAAUUGCCAUGGUCUACCAAGUAAUAAGGAACAUGCUUGCAUAGGUACCACAUCAAAAUCAACAUAAUCAGCAUAUGUAGAGAUACUAAAAUGCACCCGAACAGUACAUGUUACCUUAACCUUGCCGCUGUUGUUGAACCAUUGGAUGUAGUAAGGAUGUGGAUGUGGUCUUGUGGUGAGAGAUAGCUUCUCCACCAUCUCCAUGCUAGCCAAGUUGUUGCAAUUCCCUCCAUCUAUGAUGAUGCGAAUAGAACGUUCCUUCACAACUCCCUUUGUAUGGAACAAAUUAUGCCUCUGAUUUUGCUCAGCUUGUGUAACCUGCACACUCAAAACACGUUGAGCAACUAAACAUUCAUACCUGUCAGCAUCUUCCGCAGCCAUGUAUUGCGUCUCAUGAUCAGAAUCAUCUCCACCGUGUUCUUCAUGUGUAAUAAGAGCCAAAGUCUCCUCAUCAUAGUCACUAGCGGACUCAUACCCACCAUCCUCAGUAGCAAUCAUCACACGCUGAGAUUUGCAUUCUCUCGCAAAAUGUCCUCUUCCCUUACAACGACGACAAAUAAUAUCACUUGUGUGCCCUGUUGACGCCAUGGAAGAAGAAGAGCUCUGUGCAGGCCUGGCAGGUGUGCUCUUGGCAGAUAGUGGUGGUUGUGCCUGCUUUCUUGUAUGACGGUUGGAGGUGGCACCUGAAGGAGGUGAUGGUGCAGUGGAAGUAGAUGAUGCACGUGGUGUCCAUGAUGAAGGUUGACCUGCAGAAAAGUUAGUUCGCGCCAAUGCCUGUCGAUCCUGCACUUCACGUUCAGCUUUACAAGCAAGAUGGAAUAAACGAGUGAUAUUAUCAUAAUGCUUAUACCCUAGAAUGGUCUGAAUCUCUCUAUUUAAUCCACCCAUAAAACGUGCAAGCAUAGCUUCAUUCUCCUCAACAAUACCACAUCUAAUCAAGCCAGUUUGUAAUUCCUGAUAAUAUUCUUCUACAGAAUUUUUUCCUUGUCUUAAGCGCUGCAAUUUUUGAAGUAAUUCACGUUGAUAAUAUGGUGGAACCCAACGAGUACGCAUAGCAGUUUUCAAAGCAGCCCAAGUAGCUGGAACAUGAUAUAAUCUACAAUGUUCAGACCACCAAACACAUGCAAAGCUAGUGAAAGCACAAACAGCAGCAGGAACACGUCUCUCCUCAGGAUAUUGUAAACAUGUAAAUCGUUGUUCAGUUUCUAACUCCCAAGUAAGAUAUAUAUCAGGAACAUAUCUACCCUCAAAUGGUGGAAUUUCAAUUUCAGUUUAGGGAGAUGGUCAUGUUCUCGUACCUGAGGGGGAGCCCUAACAUUGCCAUUAUUUGCAUGUGGACGACCUGGUGGUUGUGGUGCUGGUGGUUGCACGUAGUUCUGAUUUUGAUCAACCUCAUCCUCGUAAUCUCCCGCAUAAUCAUCCUCCUCCACAUCAGCAGCAGGAGCCACAGAAGUAUCAACAGCAGCACCAGCAGUUUGGCCAGGCUGAAGAGGGACACGACUCGCUCGACGGAGGGCUGUUUCCUGACGUGGAGGUAGUUGACGUGGAGGUAGUCGUCGUUGUUGUUGUUGUUGUUGCAGAGGUGCGGCAGGUGCAGCCGGUGGUGGAAGACGCGCAAGCAGUUCAUUAAACCUGUUAUCGAGCUUUGUUUCGAACGUCUUCUCAAGGACGGUGAUCUUCUCCAUGGCCUCUUCAAAAUUGUUCAGCACAUCUCGCACCUGUUCAGUCAUCAUUUGCUGAAAACUUAUCAUGAAGCUCCUUGUUCGUUAAGUUCUCCCAGUCAAUCUCAUCGACUUGUGAUCCUGGCAUGGUUAGCAGCAAUAGAAACACACAAGAAUAUGAUCCUAUAGACUACUAACAAGUGGUGGUGGUGGGUGUCACAAAUCCGUCAAGCAAAUCUCAAAUUCUUACCAGUUCUUACCCAGCAGCAGGCGGUGAUCGGCAACCGAUGUAGUCAAAACUCUCAAAGCUUGGAUAGAGCGAUUACCAGGGAGAGUCAAACGCACGAUGUAGAUGUAUGUGGAGCUGGGAAGGCUUAUAAUAUGGUAGCAAAAAGGGUCAGCAAUAAUCAAUUCAGAGAUGCAAAGUUGAAUAAACGCUCAACGACGGUACUGUGCUGGUCCUAGGCUAGACCGUACUAGAGACGCGAGCCUAGAACACUAACAAAAUCACGGCGCUGCACGUAAACAAGGGAGGAGCACACUCUGAAUUUUUUUCAUUUUCUCUUUUUUCGCACUUUUUUCCUCUUUUUUUUUGCUCCGCAACAAUUUUUUUCGAAAAAGUCUACAAAUGUUCUAAAAACUGCCUAGCCAGAAUUUUCCAGACUUAGUUUUUUUUUUAAACUGGAACUACUUUUCUUCUGUGGAUGGCUCGGAAGUUGGGGAGUCCUAUUCUGUCACGACUCGGAGUAUCGCGUGAUCUGGAAAUUGAGAACAAAGCAAUAAUUACUGGACUCGGACUAGGACUGGGGGCGGAGAUGAAUCUGGUGGAAACUCGGACUGGUGGCGGAUAUUUGCAGGGCGAUGGAGGAAGUCGACUUUGACGAUCCGACUACGAACGUGCGAGGAUGUCGCGCCUUAGCAAUCGCUAAACCAACUCCGAGAGGUUAUUGACCACGCCGGAGCACGAUCAACCUGACCACGAGGGUCUGUUUCCUGCAGGCAACGAAGAACAAGCAAGAAACUAAGAUUGCAAUCUGGAUAUUGCGAAUAUAAGAGGAAAGCUUUAUUGAUCAAGGUGGGGUUCUGUGACGCCUUUGUCUGGUCGUUGAACACAAACGAAGUACGUGAAGUUGCAGCUAUGGCGAACUUUUAAUCUAAACAAAACCCAAAGUCUAAACGAUGCCCUAGGGCUGUAUAUAUGGAGGAAGAGGGGGGAAUUUCGUGGCCCUUGGAGGAGGGGUCUGAAACCCACCCUAACUCUUGUUUCCCCACACAUACGGACUCUAAAAACAGCCUAUAUUGAAGUAUUUCAAAAUUACAUGGGCCUGGCCCAAAAAUAAGGUGACGCAGCACCUAGAAUAGCCUCUGGACGAAAAUUAUGAAGUGGCAUCUUGUAUAUUUCGUCCAAGGCUUCAUGCACUCAUUAUGGUGGCUUCAAAGUCCUGCAAUCAUCACUUGAAACUCUGUUCUUGUCUCCCUUGCGCAUGCCAUCAACUCCAUGCUUGUUCUUGCUCCAAUGUUCAUCCUUCUCCAAGUUAGGCCCUUCAUAUUUAAGCAAAACAAAUGUAUCCAAUUUAGGCAGCAUCAUAUUCUCAUGAACAUUAGAAUCAUUACCAAGAAACGAAAGUACCUGGUAAUUUAAUUGGCGUGCGCGAGCUCUAGUAAUCGGUCCAGUAUGUAUAGUAGCAGGGGUUGUGGGUGUAACAAUGGUAUUGAUGUCCUCAUCAAAAGCAUAUAGCUCUUUGUCAUAGAUGGGAUAAUUGAGUUGCGCGCCGGAAAGUUUCUCACGAAAUGAUGCGGAGCAUCCUACGAUCAUCCCCAUGGACCUACCAUCGUCUCAUCAAGAACCAAGAGGACCUAUGACACGAGCACGAGCUAGAGCUCUCGAGAACGAGGUGACUUCCUUCCUUAGUGAUAUCACAUAUGAUCCACUCGAGACAUGGCUACUACCUAAGUCCGAUAUGCUAUGCAUGAUUUGGUGUCAAGAGGAACCUCCCGAGGAUGCACGUGAAGACGGACAAGCCGCCAAGUCCAUGGAUGAAGAGAACCAACGGAAACGGGCAAGUUCACCUUCUAGGCCCCGGACAUCCGGCCCCUGGAGCAACCACAGCAACAGCAGCCCAGACGCCCAAUUCUACAGGGCCCGGAUAUCCGGCGUCCAGCCCGGACAUCUGGCCCCAGCCCGGAAAUCCGGCCAGAAGCCCGGACAUCCGGCGCUAUGCUACAGAACAUACAGAAGUUUUCACCUCAAGCCCGGACAUCCGGCCCCUCGGGAAGACCCGGACAUCCGGCCCGUCGCUCGGACAUCCGGCCCCCCCUGUCUGCGCACAGUAAAGGGCCGAGGCCAGUGUACCCCUUCGACCCUCUAGACUAUAUAUACUCUUCUCCCCCAUCUUUCUAGGGUUAGCAUUGGUUUAGCUCAUAUGUGAGAUAGACCAUUGCUCAUCCAUUACGGAUCUACUCCACGAUAGAGACCGCGGCCCCGCUUCGGAGAAGAUCCACCUUGGAUUCAAGACCUCCUCGUGGAGAAGACCCCCCCAUCAAGACCUCCUCACGGAGAAGAACCGGUUACCCCUUUGUAUCGUCCUUUGUUGGACUUGGAUCUUGUGUCUUACCUUUGUGUUCAUCGAUCUAGCGCAUGUGUGAUCUAUUCUUGUUGGUUGAGUGAUUUCUCUCGUGUUUCCCCUCGUGUUCAUCACGUUCUUCGUAGGGAUCCGCUCCUUUCGUGAAAGAUCGGCCAUCUAGGGUUCCACCCUACAUCAUCUUGGUAUCAUGAGCCACGUUGAUCACGAUUUCGGAGCCCCCUCUCUUUGUUUUCUAGCUUGAUUUUGUUGUUUUUCGUCCUAAUCCGAAAAUUGCCCCACAAAAAUAGCCCCAAUUUUUUUGUUAUUUGUUGGUGUGAUGAAGUUUUGUUUUGAUCCGCGUAUUUCGUGUGUUGCAGGUAGAUCUAGCUUUUCCCCAUCUUUUCCCCAAUUUCCAUCCACAAAAUCUUCCGAAUUUUGCCACGGAUUUGACCUCUCCACGCGGUGUUCUUCGGAUCCCGAGCCCGGACAUCCGGCUCGACCAGCCCGGACAUCCGGCCCCUGACAGCAUUACUUCCACCCUCCACCCCGUUUACCGCCUAUCUUUCGUCCAAUUUUGUUCCGGAGCCCACAUACACUUCCGCAUAUCACCACCACUUCCGCAUAGCACCACCAUAGCCUUUCCCGCUACCAACUCCCACAAUUUUGACCCAUUUUGUUUUGAGAACUUGAGUUGUGGUUUCCGUGUCCUAUUGUGUUUCGGCUAUCUAGGUACGGUUCGGCAUCAACAUCACCACCGCUCAUCUUCGCCAAGGACUACUACGAACGGCUACACCACUUUGGUAUCACCUUCAGCUUCAUAUCAUCUUGGUAUCGUGAUAUCAUCAUACUCUCUUGCAUUUGCAUUGAUAACCCCAUGGCCUUACUGUUGCGUAGCUUACCCAUCGAGACUAGCCUUUGAGUAUUGCCGGCAACGUGACUUGUGCACAUUAGUGUUCAUACUUCCCAUAGCAUACAUAUCAUCAUUGAGUUGCAUAUUUUGGUAUCAUCUCUUGUGUCACAAAGUUGUCUUCGCAUACACAAUUGCUAUCUUGGUUCGUGAAGCAUUGCAUGAGAAAAGAGCUCAAACAACAAAGAGCCAAACAAGCUUUUAAGCACAAAGGAGAAAGAUAAGCAAAGAGCUUAUAAGCAAGAACCAUAGCAUCAAACAACAUUAAGAUUAUCAUACUCGAUCAUCUUGGAUCAAAAGCAUAGAAACAUCAUACAUAUAGCAUACUUGGGAUAGAAGUCGUUGCAUUUUUGCUUAGUAGGUUGUGCACAAGUUCGUAUCCGCCUAUGGUGCAAUCGUGCUAGCGUCCCUCUAGUGUUGUGCAACAAGAGCAUCUUGGUGGAUUCCACUUUUUGGCUCAUCCUUGGUUGCCCAACCCCACUUAUCUAUUUGCGUGUGUGUUUCCGUGUACCAUAUCUUGCUAUUGGUCUACUUGUUGCAUUUGCAAAUUUGUAAAUCUUUUCCAAUAUUAUUGAGUCUCACUUACAAUUGCAUCAAAUUUUUGUGCCACCAUCCUAACCAAGCUCCACCAUAAGAUUUUACUUGUGUAGGUGUGAGAACCGACAAGAAUUGGUACCAAUUGUGCUAUUUCCUUGCUACACAUUGGAGUGAUCUUUGAUCCAUUUUCAACAUCGGUCAAGGUACAUUUGGUAUUGGUUCUUCUCUUUCUCCCACUCACAUAUCUUUGUUUGAAAUGAUGGAUAGGCCAAGUACUUCUACCAACCCACUUUUCUUGGAGCAAGACGACGACAUGUCAUCGUACGUCACAAAGACUCAACUAUUUGGUGCACAUCGGGCUUUGCAUCAAGAACAACUUGCUUUGGGCGAUCGCAUCGACAACCUCGCCACCGAUCUACGACAAUCCGAGCAACGUACAAGAGACUACUUCGAAACAUCCAUGAGUUCCCUCAAAGAAGAUAUCCGAACCAUGAUGGUCCGCUCUUCUACAACUUCGUCCUCGUCAAGAUGGAGCCUCUCAAGUCGACACUCCGACGACACCCUCUCCGGUUCAAGUACACCGACAUCGAACACUCUUCGUCGUGCCGCGCGUCAAGACCGUCAAGCUAACCGCAAUCCUCUACACGACACCGACUCUCAAGAGCAUCGAUGGCGUCAAAACCAAGCUGCUUUCGCACAAGAACAAGAACGGCAACGCCAACGACAACAAGAACAAGAGGAGCGAGCGCGACAACAUCAAGAUGCACAAGACGCCGAGGCACAACGUCAAGAACAACAACUACGUGAAGCUCAAGCACUUGAGGCGCAACGUGCCCUUCAUGACUCAAGUCGUGCCGUAGCCAAUCGAGGCCGACAAGCUCGACUACAUCAAGAAGCACUUCGCGAUGAAGCUCAAGAACGAAUUUACCAAGCACGUGUGCAUCGACAAGCUCCUCGUCAAGAUCGACAAGCUCCUCCUCAAGCGAGACAAGAACGGCAAGUCCAUCGAGAGCAAGAUGACAAUGGACCACCUCCUCGCCAAGAGCAACAUGAGGAAGACAACCGUCCUCGCCAAGAGCUACAUGAGGAAGACAACCCUCCUCGCUAAGAGCGACAUGAGAUUGCCAAUCCUCACCGACAUGGGCGUCAUCAUCCCCGACCCCAACACAAUGAAGAGCAACGAUAUGGCAAGCUAAAGUUCACCAUGCCCAAGUUUACCGGAAGCAAUGACCCCGAAGAGUACAUAUCAUGGGCAUUGAAGGUUGACAAAAUCUUCCGCUUGCACAACUACGAUGAAGAGAAGAAAAUCGCAAUGGCAUCCCUCAAAUUCCAAGAUUACGUCCUCAUUUGGUGGGAACAAGUCAUUGAGCGCCGAGCGGCAAGAGGUGAACCACCCAUCACCACUUGGGCACAAAUGAAGGAUGUCAUGAGAGCACGAUUCGUGCCAAACUACUACAACCGCGACCUCUUCAAGAAACUCCAACAACUCAAGCAAGGAACCAAGAGCGUUGAAGAGUACUACAAGGAAAUGGAGAUUGCCAUGAUACGAGCCAAUGUCAAAGACGAUGAUGAGCAAACUAUGGCACGUCUCUUGAAUGGACUCAAUCACCCUAUCAAGAAGAUUGCCGACUUCCAACCAUACUCGAACCUCAUCGAGCUAGUGCAUCAAGCUAUCAAGGCGGAACGGCAAGUACAAGAUGACUUCAAGUAUGCCAAGUUCUCAUCCAAGUCCUAUGGCCUCUCCAACAAUCAAGCUUCGACGACUCCCACUACGAGCAACGGCGACAAGUCAAGUUACAAGAAAGCUUCGACAAGCUCAAGUCGUCCUCCUACUACAAGCAACUUCAAGAAAGCUUUAUCAUCAUCUACCCCAACCGAUGAGACCAUCAAGACAAGUUCCAUCAAAUGUUUCACAUGCGGAGGCUGAGGCCACAAGUCCUUCGAGUGCACAAACAAGCGCACCAUGAUCCUCAACGACGACGGAACCUAUGACUCCAUGAGUGAAGGAGAAUUGGAAGCCCUUGAGCAAGUGGCCAUGCACCGACAAGUGAACAAUGAAGAAGAAGAUGAUCACAUCUUCUGUGACAAAGACUCAAGUCCCGCUCUUGUUGUCUCCAAGGUCUUGACUCUUCACCAUCAACAAGACAAAGAUCAAAGAUUCCAUAUCUUCCACACAAAGGCCGGCAUCAAUGGACGGUCCGUCAAGGUCAUCAUCGAUGGAGGGAGUUGCCAUAUCUUGGCAAGCGAAGAACUAUGCUCCAAACUCCAAUUGGUCAAGAUGAAGCACCCGCACCCCUACAAGGUUCAAUGGCUAAGCGACACCGGCACAAUCCAAGUCGAGCAUAGAGUACAAGUCUCUUUAAAGAUCGGCGCCUAUGAAGACACUUUGGAGUGUGAUGUCCUUCCGAUGACCGUGUGCCACCUCCUUCUUGGACGGCCAUGGCAAUUUGACCGAGGUGUCAUUCACAAUGGGCGUACAAAUCACUAUAGCUUCAAGAUGAAAGGGAAAGAUUUUGUGCUACGUCCUAUGUCUCCAAGCCAAGUGCUCGCCGACAAGCAAAACACCCAUCGCGGAGAGAAUAGUGAGAGAGCGAUCCACCAAAAAGAGAGUGAGCGCCACAAGCCCAAAUUGAGUGCCUCCACGAUGAGCGACAAGAAAAACUUAGUCCUAUUUGCCACCAAACGUGAGAUGAGAGAAGUGUGUGAGAACCCAUCAAGUGCAAGGACGAAGCACCAAAAACUAACAACUCUCACGAUCUACCUUUGGUGUUAUGUUCUUUAUUGAAGGAAUUCCAAGAUGUUCUCCCCGAUGAGCUACCUCCGGGUCUACCUCCACUACGAGGCAUUGAGCACCGAAUCGAUCUCAUCCCCGGAGCGCCGCUUCCAAACAAAGCUCCCUACCGCGUCAACCCCGAAGAAACUAUAGAAAUACAAAGGCAAGUAAAGCAUCUCAUAGACCAUGGUCAUGUGCGUGAAAGUUUGAGUCCUUGUGUCGUACCGGUCAUUCUUGUGCCAAAACGAGACGGUAGCUUUCGCAUGUGUUCCGAUUGUAGACCUAUCAAUGCUAUCACCGUUCGAUAUAGGUACCCCAUUCCACGCCUUGAUGCUAUGCUUGAUGAACUUUGCGGUGCCACUAUCUUUUCCAAAAUUGAUCUUAAAAGUGGUUACUAUCAAAUCCACAUACAAGAGGGUGAUGAAUGGAAAACCGCUUUCAAAACAAAGUUUUGUCUAUAUGAGUGGUUAGUCAUGCCUAUGGGUUUAUCGGAAGCACUGAUGAGGACAUCAAUACCAUUGUUACACCCACAGCCCCUGCUGCUAUACAUACUGGACCAAUUACUAGACCUCGCGCACGCCAAUUAAAUUACCAGGUACUUUCGUUUCUUGGUAAUGAUUCUAAUGUUCAUGAGAAUAUGAUGCUGCCUAAAUUGGAUACAUUUGUUUUGCUUACAAAUGAAGGGCCUAGCUUUGAGAAGGAUGAACAUUGGAGCAAGAACAAGCAUGGAGAUGAUGGCAUGCGCAUGGGGAACAAGAACGGAGUUACAAGUGAUGAUUUCAGGACGUUGAAGCCACCAUAAUGCGUGCAUGAAGCCUUGGACGAAAUAUACAAGAUGCUACUUCAUAACUUUCGUCCAGAGGCUAUUCUAGGUGCUGCGUCACCUUAUUAUUGGGCCAGGCCCAUGUAAUUUCGAAAUACAUAAGUAUAGGCUGUUUUUAGAGUCCGUAUGUGUGGGGAAACAAGAGAUAGGGUUGGUUUCGGACCUCUUCCUCAAGGGCCACGAAAUUCCCCCCCUCUUCCUCCAUAUAUACAGCCCUUAGGGCGUCGUUUAGACUUUGGGUUUUGUUUAGAUUAAAAGUUCGCCAUAGCUGCAACUUCGCGUACUUCGUUUGUGUUCAACAACCAGACAAAGGCGUCACAGAACCCCACCUUGAUCAAUAAAGCUUUCAUCUUAUAUUCGCAAUAUCCAGAUUGCAAUCUCAGUUUCUUGCUUGUUCUUCGUUUGCUCGCAGGAAACAGACCCUCGUGGUCAGGUUGAUCGUGCUCCGGCGUGGUCAAUAACCUCUCGGAGUUGGUUUAGCGAUUGCUAAGGCGCGACGUCAUCGCACGUUCGUAGUCGGAUCGUCAAAGUCGACUUCCACCAGAGCGAUAUCCAUCAUCUCAUCGAAAGACGGGACACCUUUGCCUCUAUCAAGCACCAGGUACUUUCAUGCGUCUUAUGCAUUAUGUGUUUCGCCCUUACAUUGGUGAAUUUGUUGUUGUCUACUUUGAUGAUAUCCUUGUGUUUAGCAAAUCUCUCAAAGAGCAUGUCACCCACCUUCGCACCGUGCUACAAACUCUUCGAAAAGAGCAACUUUAUGCUAAUAUGGAAACUUGCCUAUUUGGUGUUGAUAAGCUUGUUUUCUUGGGUUUUGUAGUAUCUUCUAAGGGUGUUCAUGUUGAUGAAUCUAAGAUCAAUGCUAUUAAAACUUGGCCCCAACCAACCAAUUUGCAACAAGUGCGUAGUUUUCUUGGUUUAGCCGGUUUCUACCAUCGAUUUGUGAAGGAUUUUAGCACCAUUGCUUCACCUUUGCAUGCUUUGAGUAAGAAAAAUGCAUCGUUUGUUUGGGGAACAUCCCAAGAUAUCGCAUUCAAUGAGCUUAAGAAUUUGCUUACUCAUGCUCCCGUGCUUGCAUUACCCAACCUUGACAAACCUUUCAAAAUUCAUUGCGAUGCUAGUGGUAAUGGCAUAGGAGGUGUGUUAACACAAGAGAAACGCCCAAUUGCUUAUUUUAGUGAGAAACUCUCCGGAGCGCAACUCAAUUACCCCAUCUAUGACAAAGAGCUAUAUGCUUUAGUGCGAGUUUUGCAUGAAUGGGAACAUUACCUUCGCCCUCAUGAGUUCAUCAUCCAUACCGAACAUGAAACGCUUAAAUACCUUAAGGGUCAAACUAAGUUGAACAAGCGUCAUGCUAAAUGGAGUGAGUUUAUUGAGUCUUUUCCUUAUGUCAUCAAGUAUAUUAAAGGUAAAGAAAAUGUUGUGGCGGAUGCACUUUCCCGUAUAUGCAUGCUUGUUACUCAACUUGAGUUAAAUGUCAUUGGCUUUGAGCAAAAAGACUUGUAUGAGCAUGAUCCUACAUUUGCUAUUCCUUAUGCCAAGUGUUUGACGCAUACUUCUUGGGAUCGAUACUACAUCAAAGAUGGAUAUCUUAUGAGAGCUAACAAACUUUGCAUCCCCGAGUCCUCUCUUCGCUUGUUGCUUUUGCAGGAAUCUCAUGGAGGCAGACUCAUGGGACACUUUGGACGCGACAAGACAUUUGCUACGCUCUCCAAGAACUACUUUUGGCCCAAGAUGUUUCGCGCCGUCAAUCGCUUCACCAACCGAUGCUCUACAUGUCGGAAAGCUAAGUCCAAAGCCCAAUCUCAUGGCCUCUAUAUGCCACUUCCAAUUCCAUAUCACCCAUGGGAAGAUAUUAGCAUGGACUUUGUGCUUGGUUUGCCUAGAACUCGAAAUGGCAAGGAUUCCGUUUUUGUUGUUGUGGAUCGAUUCUCCAAAAUGGCACAUUUCAUUCCUUGCAACAAGAUAGACGAUGCUUCACAUGUUGCAAAUUUGUUUUGUAGGGAAAUCUUGCGACUUCAUGGAGUGCCAAAGACGAUUGUCUCGGACCGCGACGUCAAGUUCUUGAGUUACUUUUGGAGGACCUUGUGCGCCAAGCUCGGAAUCAAGCCUUUGUUCUCUUCGGCAUACCAUCCACAAACCGACGGCCAAACGGAGGUGACAAACCGCACGCUCCACUCUACUACGCGUGUUGAUAAAGAAGAACAUCAAGGAGUGGGAGGAGUGCCUACCUAUCGCCGAGUACGCCUACAACCGUGCAAGACAUUCGACUACCGGCAAGUCCCCCUUCGAGGUCGUCUAUGGCUUCAACCCAUUGUCACCAUUGGACAUUCUACCUCUACCGCUACUAGAGCGCACAAACAUGGACGCGAGUGCCCGAGUCAACUUCCUCAAGAAGAUGCAUGAAGAUACAAGGAACACCAUCGAGCGCCAAGUACAACGACUCGCGACCAAGCUCAACGUCAACAAGCAACCCAUGAUGUUCAAUGUUGGAGAUCUUGUGUGGCUACACCUUCGCAAGGAUCGCUUCCCCAAUGAACGCAAGUCCAAGCUACUACCCCGAGCGGAUGGACCCUUCAAGUUGCUUGCACGCUACAACAACAACGCUUACAAGAUCGACAUCCCACGCGACAAGUACUCCGUGAGCAACAUCUUCAACAUCAAAGAUCUCUCCCCGUACCAUGGUGAUGAGGAUUUCGAUCCGAGGUCGGAUCUUUCCCAAGGGAGGGGAGAUGAUGCGGAGCAUCCUACGAUCAUCCCCAUGGACCUACCAUCGUCUCAUCAAGAACCAAGAGGACCUAUGAAACGAGCACGAGCUAGAGCUCUCGAGAACGAGGUGACUUCCUUCCUUAGUGAUAUCACAUAUGAUCCACUCGAGACAUGGCUACUACCUAAGUCCGAUAUGCUAUGCAUGAUUAGGUGUCGAGAGGAACCUCCCGAGGAUGCACGUGAAGGCGGACAAGCCGCCAAGUCCAUGGAUGAAGAGAACCAACGGAAACGGGCAAGUUCACCUUCCAGGCCCCGGACAUCCGGCCAAGACCCCGGACGUCCGGCCCCUGGAGCAACCACAGCAGCAGCUGCCCAGACGCCCAAGUCUACAGGGCCCGGACAUCCGGCGUCCAGCCCGGACAUCCGGCCCCAGCCCGAAAAUCCGGCCAGAAGCCCGGACAUCCGGCGCUACGCUAUAGAACAUACAGAAGUUUUCACCUCCAGCCUGGACAUCCGGCCCCCAAGCCCGGACAUCCGGCCCCUCGGGAUGACCCGGACAUCCGGCCCGUCGCCCGGACAUCUGGUCCCCCCUGUCUGCGCACAGUAAAGGGCCGAGGCCCGUGUACCCCUUCGACCCUCUAGACUAUAUAUACUCCUACCCCAUCUUUCUAGGGUUAGCAUUGGUUUAGCUCAUAUGUGAGAUAGAUCAUUGCUCAUCCAUUACGGAUCUACUCCACGAGAGAGACUGCGGCCCCUCUUCGGAGAAGAUCCACCUUGGAUUCAAGACCUCCUCGCGGAGAAGACCCCCCCAUCAAGACCUCCUCACGGAGAAGAACCGGUUACCCCUUUGUAUCGUCCUUUGUUGGACUUGGAUCUUGUGUCUUACCUUUGUGUUCAUCGAUCUAGCGCAUGUGUGAUCUAUUCUUGUUGGUUGAGUGAUUUCUCUCGUGUUCCCCUCGUGUUUCCCCUCGUGUUCAUCACGUUCUUCGUAGGGAUCCGCUCCUUUCAUGAAAGAUCGGCCAUCUAGGGUUCCACCCUACAUCACUAAAGUAUGCUAUGGGGCGCUUCUCUUGCGUUAGCACGCCGCCUAUGCCAUUACCACUAGCAUCACAAUGUAUUUCGAAAGGUUUGACAAAGUUGGGUAAUGCAAGCGUGGGGGCAUGAGUAAGCAAAUUCUUAAGCUCGUUGAAAGCGAUAUCUUGGGAUGUUCCCCAAACAAACGGUGCAUUUUUCUUACUCAAAGCAUGCAAAGGUGAAGCAAUGGUGCUAAAAUCCUUCACAAAUCUACGGUAGAAACCGGCUAAACCAAGAAAACUACGCACUUGUUGCAAAUUGGUUGGUUGGGGCCAAGUUUUAAUAGCAUUGAUCUUAGAUUCAUCAACAUGAACACCCUUAGAAGAUACUACAAAACCCAAGAAAACAAGCUUAUUAACACCAAAGAGGCAUUUUUCCAUAUUAGCAUAAAGUUGCUCUUUUCUAAGAGUUUGUAGCACGGUGCGAAGGUGGGUGACAUGCUCUUUGAGAGAUUUGCUAAACACAAGGAUAUCGUCAAAGUAGACAACAACAAAUUCACCAAUGUAAGGGCGAAACACAUAAUGCAUAAGACGCAUGAAAGUACCGGGUGCUUCCGAUAAACCCAUGGGCAUGACUAACCACUCAUAUAGACCAAACUUUGUUUUGAAAGCGGUUUUCCAUUCAUCACCCUCUUGUAUGCAGAUUUAAUAGUAACCACUUUUAAGAUCAAUUUUAGAGAAAAUAGUGGCACCACUAAGUUCAUCAAGCAUAUCAUCAAGGCGUGGAAUAGGGUACCUAUAUCGAACGGUGAUAGCAUUGAUAGGUCUACAAUCGGAACACAUGCGAAAGCUACUGUCUCGUUUAGGCACUAGAAUGACCGGUACGGCACAAGGACUCAAACUUUCACGCACAUGUCCAUGGUCUAUGAGAUGCUUUACUUGCCUUUGUAUUUCUUUGGUUCCUUUGGGGUUGACGCGGUAUGGGGCCUUGUUAGGUAGAGGUGCUCCGGGGAUGAGGUCAAUUCGGUGCUCAAAGCCUCGUAGUGGAGGUAGACCCGGAGGUAGCUCGUUGGGGAAAACAUCUUGGAAUUCCUGCAAUAAAGAAGAUAACACCAAGGGUAGAUUGUGAGAGGUGUUAGUUUUUGGUGCCUCGUCCUUGCACAAUAGGACAUAGUGUAGGACACUCGAUGGGUUCUCACACACUUCUCUCAUCUCACGUUUGGUGGCAAAUAGAACUAAGUUUUUCUUGUCGCUCAUCGUGGAGACACUCAAUUUGGGGUGGCGCUCACUCUCUUUUUGGUGGUCCGCUCUCUCACUAGUCUCUCCACGAUGGGUGGCUUGCUUGUUGGCGAGCACUUGGCUUGGAGACAUAGGUCGUAGCACAAACUCCUUCCCUUUCAUCUUGAAGCUAUAUUGGUUUGUGCGCCCGUUGUGGAUGACACCUCGGUCAAAUUGCCAUGGUCGUCCAAGAAGGAGGUGACACACGGUCAUCGGAAGGACAUCACACUCCAAAGUGUCUUCAUAAGCUCUGAUCUUCAAAGAGACUUGUACCCUAUGCUCGACUUGGAUGGUGCCGUUGUUGCUUAGCCAUUGAACCUUGUAAGGGUGCGGGUGCUUCAUCUUGGCCAAUUGGAGUUUGGAGCAAAGUUCUUCACUUGCAAGGUUAUGGCAACUCCAUCCAUCGAUGAUGACCUUGACGGACCUUCCAUUGAUUCCGGCCUUGGUGUGGAAGAUAUGGCAUCUUUGAUCUUCGUCUUGUUGAUGUUGAAGAGUCAAGACCUUGGAGACAACAAGAGCGGGACUUGAAUCUUCAUCACAGAAGACUUGAUCAUCUUCGUCUUCGUUGUUCACUUGGCGGUGCAUGACCACUUGCUCAAGGGCUUCCAUUGCUCCUUCACUCAUUGAGUCAUAGGUUCCGUCGUCGUUGAGGAUCAUGGUGCGCCUGUUUGUGCACUCGAAAGACUUGUGGCCUCGGCCUCCGCAUGUGAAGCAUUUGAUGGAACUUGUCUUGAUGGUCUCAUUGGUUGGAGUAGAUGAUGAUGAAGCUUUUGGCUUGUAGUUGCUUGUAGUAGGAGGACGACUUGAGCUUGUCGAAGUUUUCUUGUAACUUGACUUGUCGCCAUUGCUUGUAGAAGGCUUGGUUGAGGUAGAAGUUGUUGGAGUCGUUGAAGCUUGGGUGUUGGAGACACCAUAGGCCUUGGAUGAGAACUUGGCAUACUUGAAGUCAUCUUGCACUUGACGUUCUGCUUUGGUAGCUUGAUGCACUAGCUCGAUGAGAUUCGAGUAGGGUUGGAAGUCGGCGAUCUUCUUGAUAGGAUGAUUGAGUCCAUUCAAGAAACGUGCCAUAGUUUGCUCAUCAUCUUCUUUGACAUUGGCUCGUAUCAUGGCAAUCUCCAUUUCCUUGUAGUACUCUUCAACACUCUUGGUUCGUUGCUUGAGUUGUUGGAGUUUUUUGAAAAGGUCGCGGUUGUAGUAGUUUGGCAUGAAUCGUGCUCUCAUGACAUCCUUCAUUUGCGCCCAAGUAGUGAUGGGUGGUUCACCUCUUGCCACUCGGCGCUCAGUGACUUGUUCCCACCAAAUGAGGACGUAGUCUUGGAAUUCAAGGGAUGCCAUUGCGAUCUUCUUCUCUUCUUCGUAGUUGUGCAAGCGGAAGAUUUUGUCAACCUUCAAUGCCCAUGAUAUGUACUCUUCGGGAUCAUUGCUUCCGGUAAACUUGGGCAUGGUGAACUUUAGCUUGCCAUAUCAUUGUUCUUCAAUGUGUUGGGGUCGGGGAUGAUGACGCCCAUGACGUUGAGGAUUGACAAUCUCAUGUUGCUCUUGGCGAGGAGGGUUGUUUUCCUCAUGUUGCUCUUGGCGAGGAGGGUUGUCUUCCUCAUGUUGCUCUUGGCGAGGAGGGGGUCCAUUGUCUUCUUGCUCUCGAUGGACUUGACGUUCUUGUCUCGCUUGAGGGGGAGCUUGUCGAUCUCGGCGAGGAGCUUGUCGAACUUGACGAGGAGCUUGUCGAUGCACACGUGCUUGGUAAAUCCUUUCUUGAGAUUCGUCGCGAAGUGCUUCUUGAUGUAGACGAGCUUGUCGGCCUCGGUUGGCUACGGCUCGACUUGAAUCUCGAAGAGCACGUUGCGCCUCAAGUAAUUGAGCUUCACGAAGUUCUUGUUCUUGUCAUUGUGCCUCGGCGUCUUGUGCAUCUUGAUGUUGUCGUGCUCGCUCCUCUUGUUCUUGUUGUCGUAGGCGUUGCCGUUCUUGUGCUUGCGCGAAUGUAGCUUGGUUUUGACGAUGUCGAAACUCUUGAGAGUCGGUGUCGUGUAGAGGAUUGCGGUUAGCUUGACGGUCUUUGACGCGCGGCACGACGAAGAGUGUUCGAUGUCGGUGUACUUGAACCGGAGAUAGUGUCGUCGAAGUGUCGACUUAAGCGGCUCCGUCUUGAAGAGGACGAAGUUGUAGAAGAGCGGACCAUCAUGGUUCGGAUAUCUUCUUUGAGGGAACUCAUGGAUGUGUCGAAGUAGUCUCUUGUACGUUGCUCGGAUUGUCGUAGAUCGGUGGCGAGGUUGUCGAUGCGGUCGCCCAAAGCAAGUUGUUCUUGAUGCAAAGCUCGGUGUGCACCAAAUAGUUGAGUCUUGGUGACGUAGGAUGACAUGUCGUCAUCUUGCUCCAAGAAAAGUGGGUUGGUAGAAGUACUUGGCCUAUCCAUCAUUCCAAACAAAGGUAUGUGAGUGGGAGAAAAAGAAGGACCAAUACCAAAUGUACCUUGACCGAUGUUGAAAAUGGAUCAACGAUCACUCAAUGUGUAACAAGGAAAUAGCACAAUUGGUACCAAUUCUUGUCGGUUUCUCGCACCUACACAAGUAAAAGCUUAUGGUGGAGCUUGGUUAGGAUGGUGGCACAAAAUUUGAUGCAAUUGUAAGUGAGCUUCAAUAAUGUUGGAAAAGAUUCACAAAUUUGCAAAUGCAACAAGUAGACCAAUAGCAAGAUAUGGUACACGGAAACACACACGCAAAUAGAUAAGUGGGGUCGUGCAACCAAGGGUGAGCCAAAAUGUGGAAUCCACUAAAAUGCUCGUGUUGCACAACACUAGAGAGACGCUAGCACGAUUGCACAAUAGGCGGAUACGAAACUUGUGCACAACCUACUAAGCAAAAAUGCAAUGACUUCUAUCCCAAAUAUGCUAUAUGUAUGAUGUUUCUAUGCUUUGAUCCAAGAUGAUCGAGUAUGACAAUCUUAAUGUUGUAUGAUGCUAUGGUUCUUGCUUAUAAGCUCUUUGCUUAUCUUUCCUCUUCGCUUAAAAUCUUGUUUGGCUCUUUGUUGUUUGAGCUCUUUUCUCAUGCAAUGCUUCACGAACCAAGAUAGCAAUUGAGUAUAUGCGAUGGCCACCUUGUGACACAAGAGAGGAUACCAAGAUAUGCACCACGGUAAUAUGGUAUGUAUGCUAUGGGAAGUAUGAUCACUAAUGAGCACAAGUCACGUUGCCGGCAAUACUCAAAGGUGUAACGCCCACGAUGCAGCUAUAUCUCCCACGUGUCGAGGCAUGACUUAGAGGCAUAACCGCAUUGUAGGUAUUGUCGCAAGAAGGGUCAUCUUCACACAAUCCCAUGUAAUGAACAAGAAUGGGACAAUGAGAGUUGGCUUACAAUCGCCACUUCACAUAAUACAUAAAUUAAUUCAUACAUCAUCCAAAAUCCACACAUAGACCGACUACGGUCAAAUCCAAAUGAAAAUAAGAUUGAUAGAGGCAAAGGUGUCCCGUCUUUCGAUGAGAUGAUGGAUAUCGCUUUGAUGGAAGUCGACUUUGACGAUCUUACUACGAACGUGCGAGGUCGUCGCGCCUUAGCAAUCGCUAAACCAACUCCGAGAGGUUAUUGACCACGCCGGAGCACGAUCAACCUGACCACGAGGGUCUGUUUCCUGCGAGCAAAUGAAGAACAAGCAAGAAACUGAGAUUGCAAUCUGGAUAUUGCGAAUAUAAGAUGAAAGCUGUAUUGAUCAAGGUGGGGUUCUGUGACGCCUUUGUCUAGUCGUUGAACACAAACGAAGUACGCGAAGUUGCAGCUAAGGCAAAAUUUUAAUCUAAACAAAACCCAAAGUCUAAACGAUGCCCUAAGGGCUGUAUAUAUGGAGGAAGAGGGGGGAACUUCGUGGCCCUUGGGGAAGGGGUCCGAAACCAACCCUAUCUCUUGUUUCCCCACACAUACGGACUCUAAAAAUAGCCUAUACUCAAGUAUUUCGAAAUUACAUGGGCCUGGCCCAACAAUAAGGUGACGCAGCACCUAGAAUAGCCUCUGGACGAAAGUUAUGAAGUAGCAUCUUGUAUAUUUCGUCCAAGGCUUCAUGCACGCAUUAUGGUGGCUUCAACGUCCUGAAAUCAUCACUUGUAACUCCGUUCUUGUCCCCCAUGCGCAUGCCAUCAUCUCCAUGCUUGUUCUUGCUCCAAUGUUCAUCCUUCUCAAAGCUAGGCCCUUCAUUUGUAAGCAAAACAAAUGUAUCCCAUUUAGGCAGCAUCAUAUUCUCAUGAACAUUAGAAUCAUUACCAAGAAACGAAAGUACCUGGUAAUUUAGUUGGCGUGCGCGAGCUCUAGUAAUUGGUCCAGUAUGUAUAGCAGCAGGGGCUGUGGGUGUAACAAUGGUAUUAAUGUCCUCAUCAUCCUCCCCUUCUUGAAAUGAAGUCGUCCUCGACGGAAGCUCAUCUCCCUCACCCAAAUAAGGCUUCAAAUCUGCAAUGUUAAAAGUGGUACUAACCCCAAAAUCUGCAGGCAGCUCAAGUUUAUAUGCAUUAUCAUUUAUUUUCUGUAACACCUUAAAAGGACCAUCAGCACGUGGCAUUAGCUUUGAUUUGCGCAAAUUAGGAAAUCUACCCUUACGCAAAUGUAACCAAACAAGAUCUCCAGGUGCAAACACAACAUGUUUUCUACCCUUAACUCCAGCAAGUUUAUAUUUAGCAUUCAUACGGUCAAUGUUUUCCUUAGUUAACUCAUGCAUUUUUAAGAUCAAUUCAGCACGUUGUUUAGCAUCAAAAUUAACCUUCUCCGAAGAUGGAAGAGGCAACAAAUCAAUAGAUGCACGAGGUAAGAAACCAUACACAAUUUCAAAAGGGCACAUCUUAAUACUAGAAUGCAAUGAACGAUUAUAAGCAAACUCAAUAUGAGGCAAGCAUUCUUCCCACAUUUUCUUAUUAUUCUUCAAAACAGCCCUAAGCAUAGUAGACAAUGUUCUAUUGACUACUUCAGUUUGUCCAUCAGUUUGGGGGUGACACGUAGUACUAAAAAGCAGUUUAGUCCCCAACUUAGCCCAUAAACAUCUCCAAAAGUGGCUAAGAAAUUUAGUAUCAUGAUCUGAAACACUAGUAUUUGGCACAGCAUGCAAACGAAUAAUUUCAGGAAGAACAAAUCAACAACAUUAACAGCAUCAUCGCUUUUAUGACAUGGUAUAAAGUGUGCCAUUUUUGAGAAUCUAUCCACGACAACAAAUAUGCUAUCCCUCCCCUUCUUUGUUCGAGGUAAACCUAAAACAAAGUCCAUAGAUAUAUCCUCCCAAGGAACACUAGGUACAGGCAAAGGCAUAUAUAAACCAUGAGGAUUGAUUCGUGACUUAGCUUUUUGACAUGUAGUGCAGCGAGCAACAAAACGCUCAACAUCCCGUCUCAUCUUUGGCCAAAAGAAAUGUGUAGCAAGUACGUCCUCCGUCUUCUUCACGCCAAAGUGUCCCAUUAAUCCUCCUCCAUGCACCUCCUGCAACAACAAAAGACGAAGAGAGCUAGCUGGAAUGCAUAGCUUGUUAGCACGGAACACAAAUCCAUCAUUAACGACAAACUUGUUCCAGGUUCUUCCUUCUUUACAAUUCUGCAAAACAUCUUUAAAAUCAGCAUCAUGCACAUAUUGAUCUUUGAUGGUCUCCAAACCAAAUAUUUUGAAGUCAAGUUGUGAAAGCAUAGUAUAGCGACGAGACAAUGCAUCAGCAAUAACAUUUUCUUUACCCUUCUUGUGUUUAAUGACAUAAGGGAAAGUUUCAAUGAAUUCAACCCAUUUAGCAUGUCUACGAUUCAGUUUAGCUUGACUUUUAAUAUGUUUCAAAGAUUCAUGAUCAGAAUGUAUAACAAAUUCUUUGGGCCAUAAAUAAUGUUGCCAUGUUUCUAAAGUCCGAACAAGAGCAUAUAGUUCUUUAUCAUAAGUAGAAUAAUUCAGACUAGGCCCACUCAAUUUUUCAGAAAUUUAUCAUGCAACUCCUUGUUCGUCAUGUUCUCCCAAUCAGUCUCAUCGGCUUGUGAUCCUGCCAUAGUUAGCAGCAAUAGAAACACAAAAGAAUAUGAUCCUGCAGACUACUGACUAACCACUCAUAUAAACCAAACUUAGUUUUAAAUGAUGUUUUCCAUUCAUCUCCCAAUUUCAUACGAAUUUGAUGGUAUCCACUACGCAAAUCAACUUUGGAGAAUAUUGUAGAGCCACUCAAUUCAUCAAGCAUAUCAUCUAGCCUAGGAAUAGGAUGACGAUAACGAAUAGUAAUAUUAUUAAUGCCUCUACAAUCAACACACAUACGCGACGUACCAUCCUUUUUCGGCACUAGAAUAAUAGGAACAGCACAAGGACUAAGAGAUUCGCGUAUAUAACCUUUGUCGAGCAGCUUUAUUGAUCAAGGUGGGGUUCCGUGACGCCUUUGUCUGGUCAUUGAAUCUAGAUAUUGCGAAUAUAAGAUGAAAGCUUUAUUGAUCAAGGUGGGGUUCUGUGACGCCUUUGUCUGGUCGUUGAACACAAACGAAGUACGCAAAGUUGCAGCUAUGGCGAACUUUUAAUCUAAACAAAACCCAAAGUCUAAACGACGCCCUAAGGGCUGUAUAUAUGGAGGAAGAGGGGGGAAUUUUGUGGCCCUUGGGGAAGGGGUCCGAAACCAACCCUAUCUCUUGUUUCCCAGACAUACGGACUCUAAAAACAGCCUAUACUCAAGUAUUUCGAAAUUACAUGGGCCUGGCCCAAUAUUAAGGUGAUGCAGCACCUAGAAUAGCCUCUGGACGAAAGUUAUGAAGUAGCAUCUUGUAUAUUUCUUCCAAGGCUUCAUGCACGCAUUAUGGUGGCUUCGACGUCCUGAAAUCAUCACUUGUAACUCCGUUCUUGUUCCCCAUGCGCAUGCCAUCAUCUCCAUGCUUGUUCUUGCUCCAUUGUUCAUCCUUCUCAAAGCUAGGCCCUUCAUUUGUAAGCAAAACAAAUGUAUCCAAUUUAGGCAGCAUCAUAUUCUCAUGAACAUUAGAAUCAUUACCAAGAAACGAAAGUACUUGGUAAUUUAAUUGGCGUGCGCGAGCUCUAGUAAUUGGUCGAGUAUGUAUAGCAGCAGGGGCUAUGGGUGUAACAAUGGUAUUGAUGUCCUCAUCAGGAUCGACAGGCAUUGGCGCGAACUAACUUUUCUGCAGGUCGACCUUCAUCAUGGACACCACGUGCAUCAUCUACUUCCACUGCACCAUCACCUCCUUCAGGUGCCACCUUGAUAGAGGCAAAGGUGUCCCGUCUUUCGGUGAGAUGAUGAAUAUCGCUUUGAUGGAAGUCGACUUUGACGAUCCGACUACGAACGUGCGAGGACGUCGCGCCUUAGCAAUCGCUAAACCAACUCCGAGAGGUUAUCGACCACGCCGGAGCACGAUCAACCUGACCACGAGGGUCUGUUUCCUGCGAGCAAACGAAGAACAGGCAAGAAACUGAGAUUGCAAUCUGGAUAUUGCGAAUAUAAGAUGAAAGCUUUAUUGAUCAAGGUGGGGUUCUGUGACGCCUUUGUCUGGUCGCUGAACACAAACGAAGUACGCGAAGUUGCAGCUAUGGCGAACUUUUAAUCUAAACAAAACCCAAAGUCUAAACGACGCCCUAAGGGCUGUAUAUAUGGAGGAAGAGGGGGGGGAAUUUCGUGGCCCUUGAGGAAGGGGUCCGAAACCAACCCUAUCUCUUGUUUCCCCACACAUACGGACUCUGAAAACAGCCUAUACUUAUGUAUUUCGAAAUUACAUGGGCCUGGCCCAAUAAUAAGGUGACGCAGCACCUAGAAUAGCCUCUGGACGAAAGUUAUGAAGUAGCAUCUUGUAUAUUUCGUCCAAGGCUUCAUGCACGCAUUAUGGUGGCUUCAACGUCCUGAAAUCAUCACUUGUAACUCCGUUCUUGUUCCCCAUGCGCAUGCCAUCAUCUCCAUGCUUGUUCUUGCUCCAAUGUUCAUCCUUCUCAAAGCUAGGCCCUUCAUUUGUAAGCAAAACAAAUGUAUCCAAUUUAGGCAGCAUCAUAUUCUCAUGAACAUUAGAAUCAUUAGCAAGAAACGAAAGUACCUGGUAAUUUAAUUGGCGUGCGCGAGCUCUAGUAAUUGGUCCAGUAUGUAUAGCAGCAGGGCCUGUGGGUGUAAUAAUUGUAUUGAUGUCCUCAUCAUCCUCCCCUUCUUGAAAUGAAGUCAUCCUCGACGGAAGCUCAUCUUCCUCACCCAAAUAAGGCUUCAAAUCUGCAAUAUUAAAAGUGGGACUAACCCCAAAAUCUGCAGGCAGCUCAAGUUUAUAUGCAUUAUCAUUUAUUUUCUCUAACACCUUAAAAGGACCAUCAGCACGUGGCAUUAGCUUUGAUUUGCGCAAAUCAGGAAAUCUAUCCUUACGCAAAUGUAACCAAACAAGAUCUCCAGGUGCAAACACAACAUGUUUUCUACCCUUAUCUCCAGCAAGUUUAUAUUUAGCAUUCAUACGCUCAAUGUUUUCCUUAGUUAACUCAUGCAUUUUUAAGAUCAAUUCAGCACGUUGUUUAGCAUCAAAAUUAACCUUCUCCGAAGAUGGAAGAGGCAACAAAUCAAUAGGUGCACGAGGUAGGAAACCAUACACAAUUUCAAAAGGGCACAUCUUAGUAGUAGAAUGCAAUGAACGAUUAUAAGCAAACUCAAUAUGAGGCAAGCAGUCUUCCCACAUUUUCUUAUUAUUCUUCAAAACAGCCCUAAGCAUAGUAGACAAUGUUCUAUUGACUACUUCAGUUUGUCCAUCAGUUUGGGGUUGACAAGUAGUACUAAAAAGCAGUUUAGUCCCCAACUUAGCCCAUAAACAUCUCCAAAAGUGGCUAAGAAAUUUAGUAUCACGAUCUGAAACAAUAGUAUUUGGCACACCAUGCAAGCGAAUAAUUUCACGAAAGAACAAAUCAGCAACAUUAACAGCAUCAUCGCUUUUAUGACAUGGUAUAAAGUGCGCCAUUUUCGAGAAUCUAUCCACGACAACAAAUAUGCUAUCCCUCCCCUUCUUUGUUCGAGGUAAACCUAAAACAAAGUCCAUAGAUAUAUCCUCCCAAGGAACACUAGGUACAGGCAAAGGCAUAUAUAAACCAUGAGGAUUGAGUCGUGACUUAGCUUUUUGACAUGUAGUGCAGCGAGCAACAAAACGCUCAACAUCCCGUCUCAUCUUUGGCCAAAAGAAAUGUGUAGCAAGUACGUCCUCCGUCUUCUUCACGCCAAAGUGUCCCAUUAAUCCUCCUCCAUGCGCCUCCUGCAACAACAAAAUAUGAAGAGAGCUAGCUGGAAUGCAUAGCUUGUUAGCACGGAACACAAAUCCAUCAUUAACGACAAACUUGUUCCAGGUUCUUCCUUCUUUACAAUUCUGCAAUACAUCUUUAAAAUCAGCAUCAUGCACAUAUUGAUCUUUGAUGGUCUCCAAACCAAAUAUUUUGAAGUCAAGUUGUGAAAGCAUAGUAUAGCGACGAGACAAUGCAUCAGCAAUAACAUUUUCUUUACCCUUCUUGUGUUUAAUGACAUAAGGGAAAGUUUCAAUGAAUUCAACCCAUUUAGCAUGUCUACGAUUCAGUUUAGCUUGACUUUUAAUAUGUUUCAAAGAUUCAUGAUCAGAAUGUAUAACAAAUUCUUUGGGCCAUAAAUAAUGUUGCCAUGUUUCUAAAGUCCGAACAAGAGCAUAUAGUUCUUUAUCAUAAGUAGAAUAAUUCAGACUAGGCCCACUCAAUUUGCGUAGUGGAUACCAUCAAAUUCGUAUGAAAUUGGGAGAUGAAUGGAAAACUGCAUUUAAAACUAAGUUUGGUUUAUAUGAGUGGUUAGUCAUGCCUUUUGGGUUAACUAAUGCACCUAGUACUUUCAUGAGACUAAUGAACGAAGUUUUACGUGCUUUCAUUGGACGAUUUGUGGUGGUCUAUUUUGAUGAUAUACUGAUUUAUAGCAAAUCUUUGGAAGAACAUUUGGAACAUUUACGUGCUGUUUUUAUUGCUCUACGUGAUGCACGUUUGUUUGGUAACCUUGGGAAGUGCACCUUUUGCACCGACCGAGUAUCUUUUCUUGGCUAUGUUGUUACUCCACAGGGAAUUGAAGUUGAUAAAGCCAAGAUUGAAGCUAUUGAGAGUUGGCCGCAGCCCAAAACGGUCACACAAGUGCGGAGUUUUCUUGGACUCGCUGGUUUCUAUAGGCUUUUUGUGAGAGAUUUUAGCACCAUUGCUGCACCUCUCAACGAGCUUACAAAGAAGGAUGUGCCUUUUGUUUGGGGUACCGCACAGGAAGAAGCCUUCACGGUAUUGAAAGAUAAGUUGACACAUGCUCCUUUACUCCAACUUCCUGAUUUUAAUAAGACUUUUGAGCUUGAAUGUGAUGCUAGUGGCAUUGGAUUAGGAGGUGUGUUAUUACAAGAUGGCAAACCUGUUGCAUACUUUUCUGAAAAAUUGAGUGGGCCUAGUCUGAAUUAUUCUACUUAUGAUAAAGAACUAUAUGCUCUUGUUCGGACUUUAGAAACAUGGCAACAUUAUUUAUGGCCCAAAGAAUUUGUUAUACAUUCUGAUCAUGAAUCUUUGAAACAUAUUAAAAGUCAAGCUAAACUGAAUCGUAGACAUGCUAAAUGGGUUGAAUUCAUUGAAACUUUCCCUUAUGUCAUUAAACACAAGAAGGGUAAUAAUCGUUCAUUGCAUUCUACUACUAAGAUGUGCCCUUUUGAAAUUGUGUAUGGUUUCCUACCUCGUGCACCUAUUGAUUUGUUGCCUCUUCCAUCUUCGGAGAAGGUUAAUUUUGAUGCUAAACAACGUGCUGAAUUGAUCUUAAAAAUGCAUGAGUUAACUAAGGAAAACAUUGAGCGUAUGAAUGCUAAAUAUAAACUUGCUGGAGAUAAGGGUAGAAAACAUGUUGUGUUUGCACCUGGAGAUCUUGUUUGGUUACAUUUGCGUAAGGAUAGAUUUCCUGAUUUGCGCAAAUCAAAGCUAAUGCCACGUGCUGAUGGUCCUUUUAAGGUGUUAGAGAAAAUAAAUGAUAAUGCAUAUAAACUUGAGCUGCCUGCAGAUUUUGGGGUUAGUCCCACUUUUAAUAUUGCAGAUUUGAAGCCUUAUUUGGGUGAGGAAGAUGAGCUUCCGUCGAGGACGACUUCAUAUCAAGAAGGGGAGGAUGAUGAGGACAUCAAUACAAUUAUUACACCCACAGGCCCUGCUGCUAUACAUACUGGACCAAUUACUAGAGCUCGCGCACGCCAAUUAAAUUACCAGGUACUUUUGUUUCUUUGUAAUGAUUCUAAUGUUCAUGAGAAUAUGAUGCUGCCUAAAUUGGAUACAUCUGUUUUGCUUACAAAUGAAGGGCCUAGCUUGGAGAAGGAUGAACAUUGGAGCAAGAACAAGCAUGGAGAUGAUGGCAUGCGCAUGGGGAACAAGAACGGAGUUACAAGUGAUGAUUUCAGGACGUUGAAGCCACCAUAAUGCGUGCAUGAAGCCUUGGACGAAAUAUACAAGAUGCUACUUCAUAACUUUCGUCCAGAGGCUAUUCUAGGUGCUGCGUCACCUUAUUAUUGGGCCAGGCCCAUGUAAUUUCGAAAUACAUAAGUAUAGGCUGUUUUUAGAGUCCGUAUGUGUGGGGAAACAAGAGAUAGGGUUGGUUUCGGACCCCUUCCUCAAGGGCCACGAAAUUCCCCCCCCCUCUUCCUCCAUAUAUACAGCCCUUAGGGCGUCGUUUAGACUUUGGGUUUUGUUUAGAUUAAAAGUUCGCCAUAGCUGCAACUUCGCGUACUUCGUUUGUGUUCAGCGACCAGACAAAGGCGUCACAGAACCCCACCUUGAUCAAUAAAGCUUUCAUCUUAUAUUCGCAAUAUCCAGAUUGCAAUCUCAGUUUCUUGCCUGUUCUUCGUUUGCUCGCAGGAAACAGACCCUCGUGGUCAGGUUGAUCGUGCUCCGGCGUGGUCGAUAACCUCUCGGAGUUGGUUUAGCGAUUGCUAAGGCGCGACGUCCUCGCACGUUCGUAGUCGGAUCGUCAAAGUCGACUUCCAUCAAAGCGAUAUUCAUCAUCUCAUCGAAAGACGGGACACCUUUGCCUCUAUCAAUGUAGGCACUCUCGGUGAUGAUGUGUCACAUGGUGGAGGUGAUGUAGUCCUCACAACAACGGAUGUGGUUGUCAUAGUAUGCUUAGUAGUUGACGGGACAACCGUAUCAACUCUUGGAAUGUGCAUCUCGCGCUUGUUCUCCUUGUGCGCAACACGUCGUUUUAUUUCCUGUUCAGCUUUGCAAGCAAGAUGAAACAAAUGGUCCAUAGGAUAACACUCUUCAUGAAUUAGUAUCUCCUGAAUGUCACGAUUUAAUCCUCCCCAAAAUCUAUCCAUAAAAUCUUCUUCACUUUCUUCUAAAGAGGAAUGCAGCAAGGUAGUUUGUAAAGUAUCAUAAUAUUUCGUUACGGUGUCACUACCUUGUUUUAAAUGUUGCAACUUUGUAAUCAUGUCACGAGUAUAAUAAGCGGGAACGAAUGUAUGUCGCAUGGCAAGUUUCAAAUCAUCCCAAGUAGUAGGUAUAUCAUUAGGGUGUAACCGACAAUAUUCACUCCACCAAACUACAGCAUAACCAGUGAAAGAACCAACCGCAACCUUAACUUUUUUACGUACAUCAAAAUUAUUGGAAGAAAAUAUAUUAUUUAGGUCAAACUCCCAUUCAAUAUAUAAAGCAGGUCUAAAACGGCCAUUAAAUGGUGGUAUAGAAACAUUAACCUGAUCAUGUGCAUUUGGAUGUUUGUGCACCUCUCGUGACGGUUGUGGUAUUUGCAUAGGUGAUGGCACAUCUCCCACGAUCGACAAACCCCAUGAAUUGACUCUAGAUCCUGUCAUGAUUAGUAGAAACAAGAAACAAAAUUCAAGAAUAAUGUUCCUAUGAACUACUAGGAUGUGGUGGUAAAGCGCUCACAGUAAAACAAAUAUCAAUAUCUUACAAGUUCUUACCAAGCAGCAGGUGCUGACAGGCAACCAGCGGUGUCAAAUAACUCCAAAGAUUGAGUAAAGCGAUUGCCAGGGGAACGUACGUAUACACGGUGUAGAAAUAUGUGGAGCUGGGUUGGCUAUAUAUGGUAGCAAAAUAUUAGCAAUAAUCAAUUCAGAGAUGCAAUGUUGAAUAAACGCUCAACGACGGUACUGUGCUGGUCCUAGGCUAGACCGGACUAGAGACGCGAGCCUAGAACACUAAUGAGGUCACGGCGUAGCACAACUAGCAUCAAUCAAGGAUACUAAGUAGCUCUGGACAGCAAGAUAUAAGUGAAGAUCACAACGGCAGUAAAGAUAAUGAUGAAAAACAACUGCCAAGCAGGAUAUACAACAACUCUCUCCAACUUUCCUCUUGAAAAGUUUGUGCCAAUUUUCUGAUAAUUUUUUUCAAAGAAUGCUACUAACUCAAGCUUUCCAAUGCAAAAAGAAUCACUCAAUUCCGAGUUGAUAUGAGGAGUGAAAGAAUUCUGAAACUGGCUUGAAAAACUGGAAUAAGCUGUGUCCGCGAACUUCGGAGGGCAAAAAGACCUAUUUAGAACACGAUUUUGAGGUGUCAAAUAUUGAACUAGUCUCUGCAACUAUUUAGAUGCGGCUCGUCGCUAGCUUUCAUUUGAGUACUCGCGGAGUCAAAACGGACUUCGUAUGAGGAAGGUAUGCCUGUUUUACUAAACAGUGCACAAAACAGAUUCCAAUCCGAAUUCAACUACGAGAUUGAGUCUAGAUAGAUCCGAAUUUUGUUUUUUUUUCUUCUCUCUUUUUUUUUCUCACACUUUUUUUUUCUGACUUCUUUUUCUUUUUUUUCUCUUUUUUUUCUCUAUCUUUUUUUUUCUCUCCCUCUUUCCAAGACAAACUAGAUAAGAUGCAGAUUGGAUCAAGCGAAGAUGUGAACAACCUCAACUAUGAUUGUGACAAUGAACUAUGGGUAGCACGUGGUGGAAUUUGAUGGAUGGUGUGGUGGACAGCAGAAGGGAUAACGAUGCAGCGGCGACGUGACUAAUGUGAACAGAACUCGAAACUCUAAACGAACUAGACCCUAAGACCAGCAACUCGACACGACGAUGCAACCGAUAAUUCAAUAAUGCAAACAAUGAAUAGAAAAUUGCAAAGGCUCAGACUGGCUUGGACAAAAGGAUGAAUAGAUCUAACUUUUUUGUGGCUUUUUCUUGGACAAUAGGUAAGAAAAUAAAUCUAAUCUAGGGGAAACUGGAAAUUCUCACCGAGCAACCUGAAAACUGAUACCACUUGAUAGAGGCGAGGGUGUCCCGAUCUUUCGAUGAGAUGAUAACUAUCGAUUUGGUGGAGACGACUUUGACGAUCCGACUACAAACGUGCACGACGUUGCGCCUUAUCAAUCGCUAAACCAAUCUCCUGAGGUUACUGACGAUGCCGGAAGCACGAUCAGCUUGACCACGAAGGUCUAUUCCUGCAAGCAAUCGAAGAACGAGCAAGAAUAUGAUAAUGCAAUCUGAAUAUUGCGAAUAUAUAUGAAGUAUUGAUAGUGGUGGGAAUCCGUAAGCGGUCUUGGUCUGGUCGUUGGACACAAACGAAGUACACGAAGUUGCAAUGGCUAACUUUUAACUAAACAAAUUCCCAGGAAAAAGCUACUAGAUGGAUCUACUUAUAUAGGAGCAAGGGGUGGCGGCCAAGGAGGUGGGAGGACGUCCCAAGGCAGCCUAAAACCAACCCUAGGUCGUACAAGGCUCAUGGGCCCAAGUGGAGGUGAUGCAACACCUUUGGACUUGUAGUUUGAUUCGGAUUCUGGUGCAACGUCAGAUUGUUUCGACCAUAACUCAAUGCUCCGGGCGAAUUUAAAGGUGAAUCCAAUUGGGUUGGAAAGAGCACGAAAUCUAGUUUCCAACAAAAAAAGAAUCACCCAAUUCGGAGUCCGUAUGAAAAAGUUGUUGGCGUUUUGAGUCAGGUAUGUCUGUGCAGUCCGAAUCUGAAUCCAGAACGUGAGAGACUUGGACUCUAUCUUCUCUUGGCCCAAAAGUGACGUGAGAGGACUUUUUGAACAGAACCUAAACUUCUCCUUUUGCCUUAUCUUCAUAUGUGGAUUGUACAAAUGUCCCAUACACCUGCAAUUAGACAAAACACAAAAGUGUGUGAAGUAUUUUUGUUCUGGAUAACAUAAAUAGAUUAUUAAAUAGUUUGCACUAGAAAUCACCUGACAAAUAUGCAUGUAUGCAAUAUUUUUGGUCGUAUCCAAGGUAGUCAUGUCCUCAUCAAUAGCGAUUACCAGGGAGAGUCAAACGCACGAUGUAGACUUAUGUGGAGCUGGGAAGGCUUUUAAUAUGGUAGCAAAAUGGUAAGCAAUAAUCAAUUCAGAGAUGCAAAGUUGAAUAAACGCUCAACGACGGUACUGUGCUGGUCCUAGGCUAGACCGUGCUAGAGACGCGAGCCUAGAACACUAACAAAAUCACGGCGCUGCACGUAAACAAGGGAAAAGCACACUCUGGGAAAAAAAAUUCAGAUUGGUUCGGAUAUGAUGAACUAACCCUAAUUUUUUUGUGGCUUUUUCGUGGACUGUAGGUAUGAAGAACAGACUCGAUCUAAACUACGAAAAACUGUAAAAUCUCACCGAGCAACCUGGAAAUCUGAUACCACUUGAUAGAGGCAAAGGUGUCCCGUCUUUCGAUGAGAUGAUGAAUAUCGCUUUGAUGGAAGUCGACUUUGACGAUCCGACUACGAACGUGCGAGGACGUCGCGCCUUAGCAAUCGCUAAACCAACUCCGAGAGGUUAUCGACCACGCCGGAGCACGAUCAACCUGACCACGAGGGUCUGUUUCCUGCGAGCAAACGAAGAACAAGCAAGAAACUGAGAUUGCAAUCUGGAUAUUGCGAAUAUAAGAUGAAAGCUUUAUUGAUCAAGGUGGAGUUCUGUGACACCUUUGUCUGGUCGCUGAACACAAACGAAGUACGCGAAGUUGCAGCUAUGGCGAACUUUUAAUCUAAACAAAACCCGAAGUCUAAACGACGCCCUAAGGGCUAUAUAUUAUGGAGGAAGAGGUGGGAAUUUCGUGGCCCUUGAGGAAGGGGUCCGAAACCAACCCUAUCUCUUGUUUCCCCACACAUACGGACUCUAAAAACAGCCUAUACUUAUGUAUUUCGAAAUUACAUGGGCCUGGCCCAAUAAUAAGGUGACGCAGCACCUAGAAUAGCCUCUGGACGAAAGUUAUGAAGUAGCAUCUUGUAUAUUUCGUCCAAGGCUUCAUGCACGCAUUAUGGUGGCUUCAACGUCCUGAAAUCAUCACUUGUAACUCCGUUCUUGUUCCCCAUGCGCAUGCCAUCAUCUCCAUGCUUGUUCUUGCUCCAAUGUUCAUCCUUCUCCAAGCUAGGCCCUUCAUUUGUAAGCAAAACAGAUGUAUCCAAUUUAGGCAGCAUCAUAUUCUCAUGAACAUUAGAAUCAUUACAAAGAAACAAAAGUACCUGGUAAUUUAAUUGGCGUGCGCGAGCUCUAGUAAUUGGUCCAGUAUGUAUAGCAGCAGGGCCUGUGGGUGUAACAAUGGUAUUGAUGUCCUCAUCAUGGACAAACUGAAGUAGUCAAUAGAACAUUGUCUACUAUGCUUAGGGCUGUUUUGAAGAAUAAUAAGAAAAUCUGGGAAGAAUGCUUGCCUCAUAUUGAGUUUGCUUAUAAUCGUUCAUUGCAUUCUACUACUAAGAUGUGCCCUUUUGAAAUUGUGUAUGGUUUCCUACCUCGUGCACCUAUUGAUUUGUUGCCUCUUCCAUCUUCGGAGAAGGUUAAUUUUGAUGCUAAACAACGUGCUGAAUUGAUCUUAAAAAUGCAUGAGUUAACUAAGGAAAACAUUGACCGUAUGAAUGCUAAAUAUAAACUUGCUGGAGAUAAGGGUAGAAAACAUGUUGUGUUUGCACCUGGAGAUCUUGUUUGGUUACAUUUGCGUAAGGAUAGAUUUCCUGAUUUGCGCAAAUCAAAGCUAAUGCCACGUGCUGAUGGUCCUUUUAAGGUGUUAGAGAAAAUAAAUGAUAAUGCAUAUAAACUUGAGCUGCCUGCAGAUUUUGGGGUUAGUCCCACUUUUAACAUUGCAGAUUUGAAGCCUUAUUUGGGUGAGGGAGAUGAGCUUCCGUCGAGGACGACUUCAUUUCAAGAAGGGGAGGAUGAUGAGGACAUCAAUACCAUUGUUACACCCACACCCCUGCUGCUAUACAUACUGGACCAAUUACUAGAGCUCGCGCACGCCAAUUAAAUUACCAGGUACUUUCGUUUCUUGGUAAUGAUUCUAAUGUUCAUGAGAAUAUGAUGCUGCCUAAAUUGUAUACAUUUGUUUUGCUUACAAAUGAAGGGCCUAGCUUUGAGAAGGAUGAACAUUGGAGCAAGAACAAGCAUGGAGAUGAUGGCAUGCGCAUGGGGGACAAGAACGGAGUUACAAGUGAUUAUUUCAGGACAUUGAAGCCACCAUAAUGCGUGCAUGAAGCCUUGGACGAAAUAUGCAAGAUGCUACUUCAUAACUUUCGUCCAGAGGCUAUUCUAGGUGCUGCGUCACCUUAUUAUUGGGCCAGGCCCAUGCAAUUUCGAAAUACUUGAGUAUAGGCUAUUUUUAGAGUCCGUAUGUGUGGGGAAACAAGAGAUAGGGUUGGUUUCGCACCCCUUCCCCAAGGGCCAUGAAAUUCCCCCCUCUUCCUCCAUAUAUACAGCCCUUAGGGCGUCGUUUGGACUUUGGGUUUUGUUUAGAUUAAAAGUUCGCCAUAGCUGCAACUUCGCGUACUUCGUUUGUGUUCAGCGACCAGACAAAGGCGUCACAGAACCCCACCUUGAUCAAUAAAGCUUUCAUCUUAUAUUCGCAAUAUCCAGAUUGCAAUCUCAGCUUCUUGCUUGUUCUUCGUUUGCUCGCAGGAAACAGACCCUCGUGGUCAGGUUGAUCGAGCUCCGGCGUGGUCAAUAACCUCUCGGAGUUGGUUUAGCGAUUGCUAAGGCGCGACGUCAUCGCACGUUCGUAGUCGGAUCGUCAAAGUCGACUUCCACCAAAGCGAUAUCCAUCAUCUCAUCGAAAGACGGGACACCUUUGCCUCUAUCAUGUUGUUACUCCACAGGGAAUUGAAGUUGAUAAAGCCAAGAUUGAAGCUAUUGAGAGUUGGCCGCAGCCCAAAACGGUCACACAAGUGCGGAGUUUUCUUGGACUCGCUGGUUUCUAUAGGCGUUUGAGAGAUUUUAGCACCAUUGCUGCACCUCUCAACGAGCUUACAAAGAAGGAUGUGCCUUUUGUUUGGGGUACCGCACAGGAAGAAGCCUUCACGGUAUUGAAAGAUAAGUUGACACAUGCUCCUUUACUCCAACUUCCUGAUUUUAAUCAGACUUUUGAGCUUGAAUGUCAUGCUAGUGGAAUUGGAUUAGGCGGUGUGUUAUUACAAGAUGGCAAACCUGUUGCAUACUUUUCUGAAAAAUUGAGUGGGCCUAGUCUGAACUAUUCUACUUAUGAUAAAGAAUUAUAUGCUCUUGUUCGGUCUUUAGAAACAUGGCAACAUUAUUUAUGGCCCAAAGAAUUUGUUAUACAUUCUGAUCAUGAAUCUUUGAAACACAUUAAAAGUCAAGCAAAACUGAACCGUAGACAUGCUAAAGGGUUGAAUUCAUUGAGACUUUCCCUUAUGUCAUUAAACACAAGAAGGGUAAAGAAAAUGUUAUUGCUGAUGCAUUGUCUCGUCGUUAUACUAUGCUUUCACAACUUGACUUUAAAAUAUUUGGUUUGGAGACCAUCAAAAAUUAAUAUGUGCAUGAUGCUGAAUUUCAAGAUGUAUUGCAGAAUUGUAAAGAUGGUAGAACAUGGAACAAGUUCGUCGUUAACGAUGGAUUUGUGUUUCAUGCUAACAAGCUAUGCAUUCUAGCUAGCUCCGUUCGUCUUUUGUUGUUGCAGGAGGCGCAUGGAGGAGGACUAAUGGGACACUUUGGCGUGAAGAAGACGGAGGAUAUACUUGCUACACAUUUCUUUUGGCCAAAGAUGAGACGGGAUGUUGAGCGUUUUGUUGCUUGCUGCACUACAUGUCAAAAAGCUAAGUCACGACUCAAUCCUCAUGGUUUAUAUAGGCCUUUGCCUGUACCUAGUGUUCCUUGGGAGGAUAUAUCUAUGGACUUUGUUUUAGGUUUGCCUUUAACAAAGAAGGGGAGGGAUAGCAUAUUUGUUGUCGUGGAUAGAUUCUCGAAAAUGGCACACUUUAUACCAUGUCAUAAAAGCGAUGAUGCUGUUAAUGUUGCUGAUUUGUUCUUUCGUGAAAUUAUUCGCUUGCAUGGUGUGCCAAAUACUAUUGUUUCAGAUCGUGAUACUAAAUUUCUUAGCCUCUUUUGGAGAUGUUUAUGGGCUAAGUUGGGGACUAAACUGCUUUUUAGUACUACUUGUCACCCCCAAACUGAUGGACAAACUGAAGUAGUCAAUAGAACAUUGUCUACUAUGCUUAGGGCUGUUUUGAAGAAUAAUAAGAAAAUCUGGGAAGAAUGCUUGCCUCAUAUUGAAUUUGCUUAUAAUCGUUCAUUGCAUUCUACUACUAAGAUGUGCCCUUUUGAAAUUGUGUAUGGUUUCCUACCACGUGCACCAAUUGAUUUGUUGCCUCUUCCAUCUUCGGAGAAGGUUAAUUUUGAUGCUAAAGAACAUGAUGAAUUGAUUUUAAAAAUGCAUGAGUUAACUAAGGAAAACAUUGAGCGUAUGAAUGCUAAAUAUAAACUUGCUGGAGAUAAGGGUAGAAAACAUGUUGUGUUUGCACCUAGAGAUCUUGUUUGGUAACAUUUGCGUAAGGAUAGAUUUCCUAAUUUGCGCAAAUCAAAGCUAAUGCCACGUGCCGAUGGUCCUUUUAAGGUGUUAGAGAAAAUAAAUGAUAAUGCAUAUAAACUUGAGCUACCUGCAGAUUUUGGGGUUAGUCCCACUUUUAACAUUGCAGAUUUGAAGCCUUAUUUAGGUGAGGAAGAUGAGCUUCCGUCGAGGACGACUUCAUUUCAAGAAGGGGAGGAUGAUGAGGACAUCAAUACCAUUGUUACACCCACAGCCCCUACUGUUACAUAUAAUGGACCAAUUACUAGAGUUCGCGCACGCCAAUUAAAUUACCAGGUACUUUCGUUUCUUGGUAAUGAUUCUAAUGUUCAUGAGAAUAUGAUGCUGCCUAAAUUGGAUACAUUUGUUUUGCUUACAAAUGAAGGGCCUAGCUUGGAGAAGGAUGAACAUUGGAGCAAGAAAAAGCAUGGAGUUAAUGGCAUGCGCAAGGGGAACAAGAACGGAGUUACAAGUGAUGAUUUCAGGACUUUCAAGCCACCAUAAGGAGUGAAUGAAACCUUGAACGAAAUAUACAAGAUGCCACUUCAUAAAUUUCGUCCAGAGGCUAUUCUAGGUGCUGCGUCACCUUAUUAUUGGGCCAGGCCCAUGUAAGUUUGAAAUACAUAAGUAUAGGCUGUUUUUAGAGUCCGUAUGUGUGGGGAAACAAGAGAUAGGGUUGGUUUCGGACCCCUUCCCCGAGGGCCACGAAAUUCCCCCCUCUUCCUCCAUAUAUACAGCCCUUAGGGCACCGUUUAGACUUUGGGUUUUGUUUAGAUUAAAAGUUCGCCAUAGCUACAACUUCGCGUACCUCGUUUGUGUUCAACGACCAGACAAAGGCGUCAUAGAACCCCACCUUGAUCAAUAAAGCUUUUCUCUUAUAUUCACAAUAUCCAGAUUGCAAUCUUAGUUUCUUGCUUGUUCUUCAUUUGCCUGCAGGAAACAGACCUUCGUGGUCAGGUUGAUCGUGCUCCGGCGUGGUCAAUAACCUCUCGGAGUUGGUUUAGCGAUUGCUAAGGCGCGACGUCCUCGCACGUUCGUAGUCGGAUCGUCAAAGUUGACUUCCUCCAAAACGAUAGCCACCAUGUCAUCGAAAGACGGGACACCUUUGCCUCUAUCAAUAUCUAUCUUAAUCCUUUCUACGAGAAUAAGUAGUAUGCCAAAUCCGUUGCUCGUCAUCAAUCUAAAUUGGUGAAGGAUACGGAUAACAUAAUUCUUAUUCUUGGUUCAUCCAGGUGAUUCAUCUUUCUCUCUGGAGUUGUCCUUCAUAUCACAUUUUCGGUUCGAGAUGCUUCAUAUUUUUUAGCGGAGUUCUUUAUGGAGGCUCUACAUGGUGGUUCGUCAAGGAUUCCUUUCAUUCAUCAAUUGUUCUCCAAGAUUUCUCUCGAAGUUAUGAUCCGACAAGCUAUACUCUAAAAUAAACAGGGUGCUCAACACAUGUUUGUUUUGAGGAGUUCAAUUAUUCUUCAUCUUGCAUUCCGAAGUGCAAUUCUUUCUACCUUAUCUCUUGAGAUGGGGUUAUGGCACUCUUGGCAAUUUCUCCUCGUGUUUCAUGAUUCACAAGUCGUCGGGAAUGAGAUAUGUAAACCCAUCGUUUUCUCUUCGUUCAUGAGUUGUUUCAACUCAUCAUCACCAUUUCUUCCUUGGAGUUAUCUUGGUUUAGAUUUCACCUAAAGCCUUCCCUAAGGAUUGUUGCUAUUUGUGGUGCUUAUCAAUGAUCCAAGUUUUCUCCUAUCCUCUUGGUGAAAGAAGUUUUUCAUCUCUUUGGUGUUCUCAAUCAAAUUAAUUGUUCCCGUGAGUGGCACGUUGUCAGCUCAUAAUGUUGAGAUGUUUUCCAUAAGCCCACAACAAGCUUGUGCUUUUCGUUGUUGAUUUACUAACAACUCCGUUCAAUCCUUCUUUACAAGGAUGCUUUCCAAGUUCAUUUGUGGCAGAAGUUCUCAUUUUCUUCUACAUCCCUUUAUCCCAACAGCCUAGCUUCUAUUCUUUCGUUCCGGAGGCAUUGUGAUGUUGCACUCUUCAUACAAUAGUCUCGUUUUGCCAAGAUCAUGUUCUUUUUCUUGCUUAUAUCCAUUUAUUCGGAGUGCCGCUCGAAUUCUUUUAGUCUUAUUCCUUGCCCAGCUAAUUUUAAUUGGAGUGGCUUAAAAAUCUAUCUUGUCUCCUAAGCUCUUGUUUCAUGUCUUUCAACCUACAAGGUUUUCGCAAUGUUCUUUGUUCCUCUUUUCUAACGGAGUGUUUUCAACUUCAUUCAUCUCCGGUGUAUUCUUUCCUUGAAAUUGUUUAACCUCUCAAGGUUCAUGGUUUCACUCGUUUGUCGAAGAAGCAACUUUGUUUUACCUCUUCCCCUUCCGUUUCUCUCCGGUGCCAUCCCUAGAUAUCGGGACGAGAUCUCUUGUAAGUGGGGGAGUGUUGUGACGACCCGAGACCGAUGCUCCAGAAGCCUUCCAUGUAUUUCAUUGUUGCCGCGUGUUUCAUUUGUUUGUUGCAUUGAUCACCGCAUCAUCUGCAUUGCAUCCGCAUGUUUUCAUAAAACUUGCAUCGGUUUGUAGUUGUCGUUUCCUCUUUGUCUCCGUUGACCAUUCUCAGUCCAACCACACACUUGACCUCGUUCGCAUAUCCCCUCUUUACACAGUGCAUCGACCCCUCGCCCGUGUCCGAAACUUCCCCAAACCCGAACCGGACUAUCGUUACCGUUGGGCCCGGAUCAUCCCCAAACAUCGAUAAAACAUCUUCGUUUUCUUAAUUGGACUUCCUAACCUAUAUUUUUCUCAGCUGUCUGAUUACGAUCAGAGGGGCUAGAAUACCCCUACCUAAAUCAACUAGCUAUAUAAGGGGGCAACCCUAGAUUUUAGGCAGGCUGUCCCAUCCAUCUCAUCGCCGCCGCCACUCCACCAAAUCCCCUUCCUCGGGAUCUCCCCCGCUCCAAAUCAGCAGCCACCACCUUCCCCUCCUCGAUUUUGCCACCGAACCAACCAGCCACUCCUCUCGAUCCACCAACCACAGCGCCUGCAGCCUCCUCCCCGCCUCCGUCUGGCCAGCCACGCCGCCGGCGGACCCGCAGAUGAGCGUCGUCCCUGCUCCUUUACCUUCCUCCUCUGCUCCUCUCUCUCCACUACUCAUUUCUCUCCCCUGUUUCUCUACAGGACCGCCCACACCAUGGCACCUCGCUCGAGCUCUGCCUCUGCGUCCUGGUUGGCCGCCUCCUCGGGAUCUUCUCCGGCCAUUCCCGUCGUUCGCCGGCCUCCCCUGCCCGCCGACCACGCGCUGCUUCAUCUUCGCGCUACAGCCCAAGCUCUGCUCUCGCCGCCUCCUCCUCUGCUUCUUCAUCGAGCCAGAGUUCGGGACACACCCGGUCUUCCUCGUCCCCGCCAGGUGAACCACCUCGAGUCACCGCAGCUCGCCGUGAGCACCUCUAGCCGCCCGCGCCCGUUCUUCCCUCCUUUUUUCCCGUGUUUUCUCUGUAUCUCUCCUCUCUGAAACUCUCUCACAGCCUGUACAUGUUCACAGGAGUACAUCCCCGCUCCCGCCUGCCGGUCCUCUUCCACAGCGCGCCGGCGCUGCCACGCCUCGUUUUGACCCAAUUCAGCCGAGAUCGACCCCGCCGUCUCGGAUCCCGGCGACCCCAGUUCGCCGCCGUGCGCCAAGUCCCCGCUGCCGCCGUCGUGCCCUGCUUCUGCCUCGCCCGCUCGUCUCUGUACGCGAGGGAAACGAGUGCUCGACCGCGUGCGUUGACCGCGCCCGCGUGGACCGGGAGGCCUCGAUCGCCUCCAGCCAAGCCGCCUAGGCCUAGCCCCGCAGCCCGCGUCCUGCGCCAGCAGGCCAACCCAGCACCGACCGGGCCAAGAACCCAUGGUGAGGCACCCACAUCCUGCGCCCAGCCACAUCCAGCGGUUUCAGCCCAGUGCACGUUUUUUCCAUGUUCUGCGAAUUUAGCAAUUAUCCCAGGAUUGACUGUUUUACAGAAAAGUCCCUCAUGUUCAUGCAUUUAAUAACUCACAAAUCGUGCAUCGGUUUAAAAUGCUUUAAAUAUGUAAAAUGCUUAGAAUUUUAUCUAGUUUAAAUAAUUUCCAACUUUUAUCCAUGUUUAAAAUGUUUAAACUUGUUGUUUGUUUAAUUUUGCAUAAAUGCCAUGUUAACAUGAUUUAUUUCAUAACUAAUUAACCGUAGCUCCGAAUUUGAUAAACUUUAUAUGUAAAUGGGGUGGAAAAAUGCAUAAAGUAACAUGGCGUACUUACUUUGCAUGUUUAACAAUCUAAAAUUGUGUAUAGGGCAGAACAGUACCAAAUUCAAAAUAUGCAUAUGGGGAUUAUAUGGGGAUUUUUCGGAAAUGUUGUUUGUUGUUUCCGGCCUCAUUUAAAUUGCCUAGAUAGGUAUUUUUAGUAUGUUCCACCUCUUGCCAUGUUAACCAACAUUUAAUAUUGUUGAGUACCUAACUGGGAGUGAACUACAUAAUCGAAAGUGGUGUUUCGUCAACAUGCAUCUUGUUACAUGUUGAGCUCCACUUAACUUGUAGUUUUGUUUGUGCACUUUGCCAUGCCAUGCAUUUUUAAACCGGACAUGCAUCAUCCUUGGUUGUGCAUCAUGCCAUGUUUAUGCUUGUGUGUUUACCAUGUUGCUUGCUUCUUUCCGGUUUGCUUCUCUCGUUAGCUUCGGUUUCGUUCCAGAGUUGUGAGGAUUCGUUCGACUACGUCCUUUUGUCUUCUUCAUGGACUCGUUCUUCUUCCUUGCGGGAUUUCAGGCAAGAUGACCAUUACCCUUGAUAUCACUUCUAUCUUUGCUUGCUAGUUGUUUGUUCUAUCGCUAUGUCGCGCUACCUACCACUUGUUUAUCAUGCCUCCCAUAUUGCCAUGUCAAGCCUCUAACCAUCCUUUCCUAGCCGUUGUUUGGCUAAGUUACCGCUUUUGCUCAGCCCUUCUUAUAGCGUUGCUAGUUGCAGGUGAAGAUGAAGUUUGUUCCAUGUUGGAACAUGGACAUGUUGGGAUAUCACAAUAUCUCUUAUUUAAUUAAUGCAUCUAUAUACUUGGUAAAGGCUGGAGGGCCCGGCCUUAUGCCUGGUGUUUUGUUCCACUCUUGCCGCCCUAGUUUUCGUCAUACCGGUGUUAUGUUCCUUGAUUUUGCGUUCCUUACGCGGUUGGGGUUAUGGGACCCCCUUGACAGUUCGCUUUGAAUAAAACUCCUCCAGCAAGGCCCAACCUUGGUUUUACAUUUUCCUAACAACCUAUACCUUUCCCUUGGGUCGGCCAACCCGAGGGUCAUCUUUAUUUUAACCCCCGGGCCAGUGCUUCUCUAAGUGUUGGUCCGAACCGAGCCGCCUACGGGGCCACCUCGGGGAAACUUGAGGUCUGGUUUUACUCGUAGCUUGUCUCAUCCGGUGUGCCCUGAGAACGAGAUAUGUGCAACUCCUAUCGGGAUUUGUCGGCACAGUCGGGUGGUCUUGCUGGUCUUGUUUUACCAUUGUCGAAAUGUCUUGUAACCGGGAUUCCGAGACUGAUCGGGUCUUCCCGGGAGAAGGAAUAUCCUUCGCUAAUCGUGAGAGCUUGUGAUGGGCUAAGUUGGGACACCCCUGCAGGGUAUAAACUUUCAAAAGCCGUGCCCGCGGUUAUGUGGCAGAUGGGAAUUUGUUAAUGUCUGGUUGUAGAGAACUUGACACUUGACUUAAUUAAAAAGCAUCAACCGCGUGUGUAGCCGUGAUGGUCUCUUUUCGGCGGAGUCCGGGAUGUGAACACGGUUUGGGUUAUGUAUGAACGUAAGUAGUUUCAGGAUCACUUCUUGAUCACUUCUAGCUUCUCGACCAUUGUGUUGCUUCUCUUCUCACUCUUGUUUGCGUAUGUUAGCCACCAUGUUUUGCUUAUCGCUUGCUGCAGCUCCACCUCACUACCCCAUCCUACCCAUAAGCUUAAAUAGUCUUGAUCUCGCCGGUUUUGAGAUUGCUGAGUCCUCGUGACUCACAGAUACUACCAAAACAGUUGCAGGUGCCGAUGAUACCAGUGCAGGUGAUGCUACCGAACUCAAGUGGGAGUUCGACGAGGACCUUGGUUGUUACUAUGUUUCGUUUCCCGAUGAUCAGUAGUGGAGCCCAGUUGGGACGAUCGGGGAUCUAGCAUUUGGGGUUAUCUUCUUCUCUUUUGAAUUUGACCGUAGUCGGUCUAUGUGUGUAUUUUGGAUGAUGUAUGAAUUUAUGCAAGUAUUGUGUGAAGUGGCGAUUGUAAGCCAACCCUCUUUAUCCCUUUCUUGUUCAUUACAUGGGAUUGUGUGAAGAUGACCCUUCUUGCGACAAAACUACAAUGCGGUUAUGCCUCUAAGUCGUGCCUCGACACGUGAGAGAUAUAGCCGCAUCGUGGGUGUUAUACGGGGCGCAAGCAAAGUCGACAUGCAAGUUUGGGGCUCAUGAUAAGAGGUUGGCUUGCCUAGGCUCGACAAUUACUUCGGGAAGAAGUGUGAAACGAUCGCGGAAAGAGUUGCUGGAAACAAUUCUCUCUCGGAGGGGCUGUUUACGGGCAAGGGAAAAUUGGUCAUUUUCACUAUGUGAAAGCAUUAUGAAAAUGAUACCAACGGAAAGAGCUCGAUGAGCAGAGAAGGUGAGCGUUGGAAUCACCUCAAUCGGAGUUACGGUUGCAGAGUUAUGAAGGGUUGAAACUCAGGGACCUAUCGGUGAAUUUUUUUAGCAAAGAGGCCCCUGGAGGAAAAACUUAACGCGCCGUUCGGCCGAAUACGUUUUCUGCAAAGAGAAAUGUAUUUUGAGCCGAAGUGCAAAGCGAAUACGCUUUCAGAACUAAGAAAGCGUAUUUCAGGUAAAAGAGGAAGCAAAUACGCUUUCGUAUAUCGAAAACGCAUAUCCAGAAUACGCUUCCACUUAUAGACUCGGGCCCGGGGUGGGGUCAACGCCGAGACGCUGCCAGGUGGGGUUGCGCGGGGAGGGGCCCGCCUGGCCUGGCGUCUUCAACCUCCCGCUCGUGCACGCGCCUGGCAGAGGGAGGGGCUCGCCUCGACGGUGAUUGCUGGCGACUCCGGCCACCGCAGACGACGGCCGACCUACCCACGAGUUUAGGAGCGAGAGGCGCAUCUCGGGGUGGUCUCCAUUACCAGCGAGGAGGCCUGGAAAGGAGCAGCAGGGCUCGCGGCGGAGGUGGCUUCGGCCGCCGGCGAACAGUGUUCUCCGGUGGGGGAACGAUGAGGCUGAGGCCACAGGGAGGCUCGCCGGACCUCAGGUGAUGCCGUGGUGGAGGUGGAACGGCGAGGGGGACUACUGGUCGCCGGAAUCAGAGGGACCCGAGGCGGCGACCGCAGCGGCGGUGGGGGUCAGAGAGGGGCUCUGGGCUUGGGGAGAGGCUCUGGGAGGGGGUUGUGGACCGCGAUGAAGCUCGAGGCGUGGUUAAAUAGCCGCGGGGAAGGCUCGAGAGGGAGGGGAGGAGGUGACACGCGGCGCGGCUACGUGUCCGUGCGCCGGUGACGCGCACGCGCGGCCAAGACUCACGGGAAGGGGCGGCAAGGCGACGAGGGGGACGCGGACGAGUGCCAGGAGGUCACGGAAUCGAGCAACGUUUGCGGACGAGAGGAGGAAGCGGACAUGAGCGAGGAAACGACGGCACACACGGGCGCUCAUUGUGUUUGACAACCGUGACGGCUCAACGAGGAAGCAAACAAAGGGGAACAAGCUCCAGGGGGAAGACGACGUCGAGGGGAAGCUGCGUGACACGCUUGGACAAGCCAGAACCGGCCGGAGCGGCGCCGCUGUUGCCAACUGAUAGAGGCGAGGGGCCCGAUCUUUCGAUGAGAUGAUGGAUAUCGCUUUGGUGGAAGUCGACUUUGACGAUCCGACUACGAACGUGCGAUGACGUCGCGCCUUAGCAAUCGCUAAACCAACUCCGAGAGGUUAUUGACCACGCCGGAGCACGAUCAACCUGACCACGAGGGUCUGUUUCCUGCGAGCAAACGAAGAACAAGCAAGAAACUGAGAUUGCAAUCCGGAUAUUGCGAAUAUAAGACGAAAACUUUAUUGAUCAAGGUGGGGUUCUGUGACGCCUUUGUCUGGUCGUUGAACACAAACGAAGUACGCGAAGUUGCAGCUAUGGCGAACUUUUAGUCUAAACAAAACCCAAAGUCUAAACAACGACCUAAGGGCUGUAUAUAUGGAGGAAGAGGGGGGAAUUUCGUGGCCCUUGGGGAAGGGGUCCGAAACCAACCCUAUCUCUUGUUUCCCCACACAUACGGAUUCUAAAAAUAGCCUAUACUCAAGUAUUUCGAAAUUACAUGGGCCUGGCCCAAUAAUAAGGUGACGCAGCACCUAGAAUAGCCUCUGGACGAAAGUUAUGAAGUAGCAUCUUGUAUAUUUCGUCCAAGGCUUCAUGCACGCAUUAUGGUGGCUUCAACGUCCUGAAAUCAUCACUUGUAACUCCGUUCUUGUCCCCCAUGCGCAUGCCAUCAUCUCCAUGCUUGUUCUUGCUCCAAUGUUCAUCCUUCUCAAAGCUAGGCCCUUCAUUUGUAAGCAAAACAAAUGUAUCCAAUUUAGGCAGCAUCAUAUUCUCAUGAACAUUAGAAUCAUUACCAAGAAACGAAAGUACCUGGUAAUUUAAUUGGUGUGCGCGAGCUCUAGUAAUUGGUCCAGUAUGUAUAGCAGCAGGGGCUGUGGGUGUAACAAUGGUAUUGAUGUCCUCAUCAUCCUCCCCUUCUUGAAAUGAAGUCGUCCUCGACGGAAGCUCAUCUCCCUCACCCAAAUAAGGCUUCAAAUCUGCAAUGUUAAAAGUGGGACUAACCCCAAAAUCUGCAGGCAGCUCAAGUUUAUAUGCAUUAUCAUUUAUUUUCUCUAACACCUUAAAAGGACCAUCAGCACGUGGCAUUAGCUUUGAUUUGCGCAAAUCAGGAAAUCUAUCCUUACGCAAUUGUAACCAAACAAGAUCUCCAGGUGAAAACACAACAUGUUUUCUACCCUUAUCUCCAGCAAGUAUUUAGCAUUCAUACGCUCAAUGUUUUCCUUAGUUAACUCAUGCAUUUUUAAGAUCAAUUCAGCACGUUGUUUAGCAUCAAAAUUAACCUUCUCCGAAGAUGGAAGAGGCAACAAAUCAAUAGGUUCACGAGGUAGGAAACCAUACACAAUUUCAAAAGGGCACAUCUUAGUAGUAGAAUGCACUAAACGAUUAUAAGCAAACUCAAUAUGAGGCAAGCAUUCUGCCCACAUUUUCUUAUUAUGCUUCAAAACAGCCCUAAGCAUAGUAGACAAUGUUCUAUUGACUACUUCAGUUUGUCCAUCAGUUUGGGGGUGACAAGUAGUACUAAAAAGCAGUUUAGUCCCCAACUUAGCCCAUAAACAUCUCCAAAAGUGGCUAAGAAAUUUAGUAUCACGAUCUGAAACAAUAGUAUUUGGCACACCAUGCAAACGAAUAAUUUCAUGGAAGAACAAAUCAGCAACAUUAACAGCAUCAUCGCUUUUAUGACAUGGUAUAAAGUGUGCCAUUUUUUAGAAUCUAUCCACGACAACAAAUAUGCUAUCCCUCCCCUUCUUUGUUCGAGGUAAACCUAAAACAAAGUAAAUAGAUAUAUCCUCCCAAGGAACACUAGGUACAGGCAAAGGCAUAUUAUAAACCAUGAGGAUUGAGUCGUGACUUAGCUUUUUGACAUGUAGUGCAGCGAGCAACAAAACGCUCAACAUCCCGUCUCAUCUUUGGCCAAAAGAAAUGUGAUAGAGGCGAGGGUGUCCCGAUCUUUCGAUGAGAUGAUAACUAUCAAUUUGGUGGAGACGACUUUGACGAUCCGACUACAAACGUGCACGACGUUGCGCCUUAUCAAUCGCUAAACCAAUCUCCUGAGGUUACUGACGAUGCCGGAAGCACGAUCAGCCUGACCACGAAGGUCUAUUCCUGCAAGAAAUCGAAGAACGAGCAAGAAUAUGAUAAUGCAAUCUGAAUAUUGCGAAUAUAUAUGAAGUAUUGAUAGUGGUGGGGAUCCGUAAGCGGUCUUGGUCUGGUCGUUGGACACAAACGAAGUACACGAAGUUGCAAUGGCUAACUUUUAACUAAACAAAUCCCAAGGAAAAAGCUACUAGAUGGAUCUACUUAUAUAGGAGCAAGGGGUGGCGGCCAAGGAGGUGGGAGGACGUCCCAAGGCAGCCUAAAACCAACCCUAGGUCGUACAAGGCUCAUGGGCCCAAGUGGAGGUGAUGCAACACCUUUGGACUUGUAGUUUGACUCGGAUUCUGGUGCAACGUCAGAUUGUUUCGACCAUAACUCAAUGCUCCGGACGAAUUUAAAGGUGAAUCCAAUUGGGUUGGAAAGAGCACGAAAUCUAGUUUCCAACAAAAAAAGAAUCACCCAAUUCGGAGUCCGUAUCAAAAAGUUGUUGCCGUUUUGAGUCAGGUAUGUCUGUGCAGUCCGAAUCUGAAUCCAGAACGUGAGAGACUUGGACUCUAUCUUCUCUUGGCCCAAAAGUGACGUGAGAGGACUUUUUGAACAGAACCUAAACUUCUCCUUUUGCCUUAUCUUCAUAUGUGGAUUGUACAAAUGUCCCAUACACCUGCAAUUAGACAAAACACAAAAGUGUGUGAAGUAUUUUUGUUCUGGAUAACAUAAAUAGAUUAUUGAAUAGUUUGCACUAGAAAUCACCUGACAAAUAUGCAUGUAUGCAAUAUUUUUGGUCGUAUCCAAGGUAGUCAUGUCCUCAUCAUCCUCCCCUUCUUGAAAACAAAGCUGUCCUCGGCGUUGCUUAAUCUGAAAUGUGGCUAACAAAAGAGACAAGGUGUACAUGUUGUAUAUGUAUAUGUCAUCCAUUUUUACUUCCCGUGGAUUUUGCACAUAUGACACAUGUAUACAUGAGUAACUUUCAUAGUUAAUAAAAUAUAAAGCCAAAAUAUUAUCACAAGAAGUAGAAGGCAUGAAAGUAUUGCAACUCAGUUUGCACAUAUAAGUGAAGCUCUUAUUCAUAUGAAAAGAUUGACAAUAUUCAUCAUUAAACCAUCCCAACAUUGAUGAACCAUCACCAAGAUUAGAGGUCAUAUCAAAAUGAUUAAACAUUGGCACAAUUAUUUUCAAACAUAUUUGAUCCAAAUCUGAUUUAUUCCCUGAUUCACUUGAUUCUUUUGCAUCGAUAGUUAAUUCAAUGGGCUCACUCAAAAUUGUUUGAUCACAUGGCAAAGUCAAAUCAUUAACAUAGUCCUCUAAGGUAGCUGGUGUGAUCAAAGUAGUGGGUAGCUCACCGCAUGGUGCACUUAAAUUGACAAGACAUUCAUCAUACUCAUGUGGAAGUGGAAGAUUAGUACCUUUGUCAUUACCUCUUAUGAUCAACUCAGAUGAGGUAGGCACUCUCGGUGAUGAUGUGUCACAUGGUGAAGGUGAUGUAGUCCUCACAACAACGGAUGUGGUUGUCAUAGUAUGCUUAGUAGUUGAAGGGACAACCGUAUCAACUCUUGGAAUGUGCAUCUCGCGCUUGUUCUCCUUGUGCGCAACACGUCGUUUUAUUUCCUGUUCAGCUUUGCAAGCAAGAUGAAACAAAUGGUCCAUAGGAUAACACUCUUCAUGUAUUAGUAUCUCCUGAAUGUCACGAUUUAAUCCUCCCCAAAAUCUAUCCAUAAAAUCUUCUUCACUUUCUUCUAAAGAGGAAUGCAGCAAGGUAGUUUGUAAAGUAUCAUAAUAUUUCGUUACGGUGUCACUACCUUGUUUUAAAUGUUGCAACUUUGUAAUCAUGUCACGAGUAUAAUAAGCGGGAACGAAUGUAUGUCGCAUGGCAAGUUUCAAAUCAUCCCAAGUAGUAGGUAUAUCAUUAGGGUGUAACCGACAAUAUUCACUCCACCAAACUACAGCAUAACUAGUGAAAGAACCAACCGCAACCUUAGCUUUUUUACGUACAUCAAAAUUAUUGGAAGCAAAUAUAUUAUUUAGGUCAAACUCCCAUUCAAUAUAUAAAGCAGGUCUAAAACGGCCAUUAAAUGGUGGUAUAGAAAUAUUAACCUGAUCAUGUGCAUUUGGAUGUUUGUGCACCUCUCGUGACGGUUGUGGUAUUUGCAUAGGUGAUGGCACAUCUCCCACGAUCGACAAACCCCAUGAAUUGACUCUAGAUCUUGUCAUGAUUAGUAGAAACAAGAAACAAAAUUCAAGAAUAAUGUUCCUAUGAACUACUAGGAUGUGGUGGUAAAGCGCUCACAGUAAAGCAAAUAUCAAUAUCUUGCAAGUUCUUACCAAGCAGCAGCUGGUGACAGGCAACCAGCGGUGUCAAAUAACUCCAAAGAUUGAGUAAAGCGAUUGCUAGGGGAACGUACGUAUACACGGUGUAGAAAUAUGUGGAGCUGGGUUGGCUAUAUAUGGUAGCAAAAUAUUAGCAAUAAUCAAUUCAGAGAUGCAAUGUUGAAUAAACGCUCAACGACGGUACUGUGCUGGUCCUAGGCUAGACCGGACUAGAGACGCGAGCCUAGAACACUAAUGAGGUCACGGCGUAGCACAACUAGCAUCAAUGAAGGAUACUAAGUAGCUCUGGACAGCAAGAUAUAAGUGAAGAUCACAACGGCAGUAAAGAUAAUGAUGAAAAACAACUGCCAAGCAGGAUAUACAACAACUCUCUCCAACUUUCCUCUUGAAAAGUUUGUGCCAAUUUUCUGAUAAUUUUUUUCAAAGAAUGCUACUAACUCAAGCUUUCCAAUGCAAAAAGAAUCACUCAAUUCCGAGUUGAUAUGAGGAGUGAAAGAAUUCUGAAACUGGCUUGAAAAACUGGAAUAAGCUGUGUCCGCGAACUUCGGAGGGCAAAAAGACCUAUUUAGAAGACGAUUUUGAGGUGUCAAAUAUUGAACAAGUCUCUGCAACUAUUUAGAUGCGGCUCGUCGCUAGCUUUCAUUUGAGUACUCGCGGAGUCAAAACGGACUUCGUAUGAGGAAGGUAUGCCUGUUUUACUAAACAGUGCACAAAACAGAUUCCAAUCCGAAUUCAACUACGAGAUUGAGUCUAGAUAGAUCCGAAUUUUGUUUUUUUUUCUUCUCUCUUUUUUUUCCUCACACUUUUUUUCUUUCUCUUUUUUUUUCUGACUUCUUUUUCUUUUUUUUUCUCUAUCUUUUUUUUCUCUCCCUCUUUCCAAGACAAACUAGAUAAGAUGCAGAUUGGAUCAAGCGAAGAUGUGAACGACCUCAACUAUGAUUGUGACAAUGAACUAUGGGUAGCACAUGGUGGAAUUUGAUGGAUGGUGUGGUGGACAGCAGAAGGGAUAACGAUGCAGCGGCGACGUGACUAAUGUGAACAGAACUCGAAACUCUAAACGAACUAGACCCUAAGACCAGCAACUCGACACGACGAUGCAACCGAUAAUUCAAUAAUGCAAACAAUGAAUAGAAAAUUGCAAAGGCUCAGACUGGCUUGGACAAAAGGAUGAAUAGAUCUAACUUUUUUGUGGCUUUUUCUUGGACAAUAGGUAAGAAAAUAAAUCUAAUCUAGGGGAAACUGGAAAUUCUCACCGAGCAACCUGAAAACUGAUACCACUUGAUAGGGGCGAGGGUGUCCCGAUCUUUCGAUGAGAUGAUAACUAUCGAUUUGGUGGAGACGACUUUGACGAUCCGACUACAAACGUGCACGACGUUGCGCCUUAUCAAUCGCUAAACCAAUCUCCUGAGGUUACUGACGAUGCCGGAAGCACGAUCAGCCUGACCACGAAGGUCUAUUCCUGCAAGCAAUCGAAGAACGAGCAAGAAUAUGAUAAUGCAAUCUGAAUAUUGCGAAUAUAUAUGAAGUAUUGAUAGUGGUGGGAAUCCGUAAGCGGUCUUGGUCUGGUCGUUGGACACAAACGAAGUACACGAAGUUGCAAUGGCUAACUUUUAACUAAACAAAUUCCAAGGAAAAAGCUACUAGAUGGAUCUACUUAUAUAGGAGCAAGGAGUGGCGGCCAAGAAGGUGGGAGGACGUCCCAAGGCAGCCUAAAACCAACCCUAGGUCGUACAAGGCUCAUGGGCCCAAGUGGAGGUGAUGCAACACCUUUGGACUUGUAGUUUGACUCGGAUUCUGGUGCAACGUCAGAUUGUUUCGACCAUAACUCAAUGCUCCGGACGAAUUUAAAGGUGAAUCCAAUUGGGUUGGAAAGAGCACGAAAUCUAGUUUCCAACAAAAAAAGAAUAACCCAAUUCGGAGUCCGUAUGAAAAAGUUGUUGGCGUUUUGAGUCAGGUAUGUCUGUGCAGUCCGAAUCUGAAUCCAGAACGUGAGAGACUUGGACUCUUUCUUCUCUUGGCCCAAAAGUGACGUGAGAGGACUUUUUGAACAGAACCUAAACUUCUCCUUUUCCCCUAUCUUCAUAUGUGGAUUGUACAAAUGUCCCAUACACCUGCAAUUAGACAAAACACAAAAGUGUGUGAAGUAUUUUUGUUCUGGAUAACAUAAAUAGAUUAUUGAAUAGUUUGCACUAGAAAUCACCUGACAAAUAUGCAUGUAUGCAAUAUUUUUGGUCGUAUCCAAGGUAAUCAUGUCCUCAUCAUCCUCCCCUUCUUGAAAACAAAGCCGUCCUCGGCGUUGCUUAAUCUGAAAUCUGGCUAACAAAAGAGACAAGGUGUACACGUUGUAUAUGUACAUGUCAUCCGUUUUUACUGAUCUCAUUUGGUGCACAUGUGACUCAGUUAUACAAGAGCACCCUUCAAAAGUCGUGAAAUGUAAAGUCAAUAUAUUAUCACAAGAAGUCAAAGGCAUGAAAAUAUUGCAACUCAGUUUGCACAUAUAAGCGAAGCUCUUAUUCAUAUCAAAAGAUUGACAAUGCUUAUCAUUAAACCAUCCCAACAUUGAUGAACCAUCACCAAGAUUAGAGGUCAUAUCAAAAUGAUUAAACAUUGGCACAAUUAUUUUCAAACAUAUUUGAUCCAAAUCUGAUUUAUUCCCUGAUUCUUUUGCAUCGAUAUUUAAUUCAAUGGGCUCACUCAAAAUUGUUUGAUCACAUGGCAAAGUCAAAUCAUCAACAUAGUCCUCUAAGGUAGCUGGUGUGAUCAAAGUAGUGGGUAGCUCACCGCAUGGUGCACUUAAAUUGACAAGACAUUCAUCAUACUCAUGUGGAAGUGGAAGAUUAGUACCUUUGUCAUUACCUCUUAUGAUCAACUCAGAUGAUCUAGGCACUCUCGGUGAUGAUGUGUCACAUGGUGGAGGUGAUGUAGUCCUCACAACAAAGGAUGUGGUUGUCAUAGUAUGCCUAGUAGUUGAAGGGACAACCGUAUCAACUCUUGGAAUGUGCAUCUCGCGCUUGUUCUCCUUGUAGGCAACACGUCGUUUUAUUUCCUGUUCAGCUUUGCAAGCAAGAUGAAACAAAUGGUCCAUAGGAUAACACUCUUCAUGAAUUAGUAUCUCCUGAAUGUCACGAUUUAAUCCUCCCCAAAAUCUAUCCAUAAAAUCUUCUUCACUUUCUUCUAAAGAGGAAUGCAGCAAGGUAGUUUGUAAAGUAUCAUAAUAUUUCGUAACGGUGUCACUACCUUGUUUUAAAUGUUGCAACUUUGUAAUCAUGUCACGAGUAUAAUAAGCGGGAACGAAUGUAUGUCGCAUGGCAAGUUUCAAAUCAUCCCAAGUAGUAGGUAUAUCAUUAGGGUGUAACCGACAAUAUUCACUCCACCAAACUACAGCAUAACCAGUGAAAGAACCAACCGCAACCUUAACUUUUUUACGUACAUCAAAAUUAUUGGAAGCAAAUAUAUUAUUUAGGUCAAACUCCCAUUCAAUAUAUAAAGCAGGUCUAAAACAGCCAUUAAAUGGUGGUAUAGAAACAUUAACCUGAUCAUGUGCAUUUGGAUGUUUGUGCACCUCUCGUGACGGUUGUGGUAUUUGCAUAGGUGAUGGCACAUCUCCCACGAUCGACAAACCCCAUGAAUUGACUCUAGAUCCUGUCAUGAUUAGUAGAAACAAGAAACAAAAUUCAAGAAUAAUGUUCCUAUGAACUACUAAGAUGUGGUGGUAAAGCGCUCACAGUAAAGCAAAUAUCAAUAUCUUACAAGUUCUUACCAAGCAGCAGGUGGUGACAGGCAACCAGCGGUGUCAAAUAACUCCAAAGAUUGAGUAAAGCGAUUGCCAGGGGAACGUACGUAUACACGGUGUAGAAAUAUGUGGAGCUGGGUUGGCUAUAUAUGGUAGCAAAAUAUUAGCAAUAAUCAAUUCAGAGAUGCAAUGUUGAAUAAACGCUCAACGACGGUACUGUGCUGGUCCUAGGCUAGACCGGACUAGAGACGCGAGCCUAGAACACUAAUGAGGUCACGGCGUAGCACAACUAGCAUCAAUGAAGGAUACUAAGUAGCUCUGGACAGCAAGAUAUAAGUGAAGAUCACAACGGCAGUAAAGAUAAUGAUGAAAAACAACUGCCAAGCAGGAUAUACAACAACUCUCUCCAACUUUCCUCUUGAAAAGUUUGUGCCAAUUUUCUGAUAAUUUUUUUUCAAAGAAUGCUACUAACUCAAGCUUUCCAAUGCAAAAAGAAUCACUCAAUUCCGAGUUGAUAUGAGGAGUGAAAGAAUUCUGAAACUGGCUUGAAAAACUGGAAUAAGCUGUGUCCGCGAAUUUUGGAGGGCAAAAAGACCUAUUUAGAAGACGAUUUUGAGGUGUCAAAUAUUGAACGAGUCUCUGCAACUAUUUAGAUGCGGCUCGUCGCUAGCUUUCAUUUGAGUACUCGCGGAGUCAAAACGGACUUCGUAUGAGGAAGGUAUGCCUGUUUUACUAAACAGUGCACAAAACAGAUUCCAAUCCGAAUUCAACUACGAGAUUGAGUCUAGAUAGAUCCGAAUUUUGUUUUUUUUUCUUCUCUCUUUUUUUUUCUCACACUUUUUUUUCUUUCUCUUUUUUUUCUGACUUCUUUUUUUUUCUCUAUCUUUUUUUUUUCUCUCCCUCUUUCCAAGACAAACUAGAUAAGAUGCAGAUUGGAUCAAGCGAAGAUGUGAACGACCUCAACUAUGAUUGUGACAAUGAACUAUGGGUAGCACGUGGUGGAAUUUGAUGGAUGGUGUGGUGGACAGCAGAAGGGAUAACGAUGCAGCGGCGAUGUGACUAAUGUGAACAGAACUCGAAACUCUAAACGAACUAGACCCUAAGACCAGCAACUCGACACGACGAUGCAACCGAUAAUUCAAUAAUGCAAACAAUGAAUAGAAAAUUGCAAAGGC
rnacentral:lncRNA from 1 species